rnacentral:lncRNA from 1 species
GUGCUCCGCCUCCGCGGCGGCGCCAAGAAGCGCAAGAAGAAGACCUACACCAAGCCCAAGAAGCAAAAGCACAAGCACAAGAAGGUGAAGCUCGCCGUCCUCCAGUUCUACAAGGUCGACGACGCCACCGGCAAGGUCACCAGGCUCAGGAAGGAGUGCCCGAACGCCGACUGCGGCGCCGGCACCUUCAUGGCCAACCACUUCGACCGCCACUACUGCGGCAAGUGCGGCCUCACCUACGUCUACAACCAGAAGGCUUAGAGGUGGCUUGCGUUUGCUCUGCUCUUUUACCUACCUACCUAUCGAGAGUCGAACUCAUUUAGAUGUGUCCCGUUUGUCGUUUAAACUGAAUCCUUGAGUAUCAUGUUUCCUGAAUAUUUCAUCGCCUACUGCUGUUAUGCGAUGCGUGCUUAAAUUUUGGUGUCCGUAUGCUAUCAGUCUAAAUGCUUUUAAUCCAUUCCAUGUCGGCUAUCUUAUUCUAUGCUUUGUUGAUCUUAAUAAGGUGGUGCGAUCACGAGACAUGUUGAUGCAUGGGUUCUUCAGCUUAUAACCCAUUAUUGCAGGUGUUUCUAGAUUAGCCAAUAGCUAUGCAGGUCUUACAUGUGGAUGAAUAUUUUGCUAUUGCUGUUUUGUUAUGUGUUGAUUCUUUGAGGUGUGUGAUCUUUAUCACUUGCAAUUAGAAUUCAGUUCAUUCCAAGCGGUUGUGUGGUUGGUUUGUUCUACGUAUCUGUUUUAGUUCAUACCUAGAUGUGCCUGAAACUGUGAAUAUAUGUAGUCAGUUACCUUUGGCUAUAGACAGUGGCAGUGCGAUGAUUGCUAGUGUGGAGCAUAGUUCUGCCUUGUGGUUUAGCCAUCAGUUUUGUGUGUGUUAACCAUUCACCAUUGCCUACCUUCGGUGGUAAUAUUGGUUGGGUCUAUUGUGCCAUAUGUCUAUCGGUUUACAGUUGUAGAUGUAGGUGAGUUUUGCUGUCCUCUUGAGAUGUGAUGAGGCAUCAGUCUCUCACAUAAGCUGUAGAUCUGUACUCCCUCUCUGUAAAGAAAUGUAAGAGCGUUUAGUGAUGUAAAUAGAUGCUCUUAUAUUUGUUUACGGAGGUACCAGUAGUUUACAAUUGCCGACGUAAUCAGUGAACUGGUUCAGUAUCUCGGUAUGUUUAGCCAAUUCCAUUUCAGAAUUGGCCCAACGCUGCAUAAGCAACAGUGGCAUUGCUGUUUAUGCCCUGCCAAUGGCCCUGUAGCUGGGAUUUAGUACUGAUGUUGUUUGCGGAUGAAACAUGUGACUGAAAUUUUCACGUCUCUGUCUCCGUGCAAGCCUAGGGGGCUUGUUUGUAUACAAGCCUGUAGCAUGAAGUUGUAGCUAAGAGUGCUUCUGGAUUGUGGUCGUGCAAUUUCAUGAACUGUGAUCAGCGGCAGCGUUGCUAAACCAGCGAGAACCCAGUUCGGAUGUGUUUGGUUGGGAAAAGGCGCAGCGGCAGCGUCUCUCUUAUCGAGGUCCUGGACGCCUUGCCGCAGUGCUGCCUGUUCAUGCCCUUGUGCUGUGCCGUUGUUGAGUUUUCCUCUCACGGCCAUACCGAGGGCGACAUGUGGCACCCAAAAUCCAUUCGCUGGCACAGAGAUGAAAUAAGGUUAAGAGAAGCUCGUAGUGGGGUGUUGAGGAGCUUGUAGCUCCCAGAAAUCAAAGAAGCGAGAGUUGACUAUAAAUACAUAUGCACGCCAACCAAUUCACUGCACCUAAUCUCACUAUGCCUCCCUCAUCGAGCUCACCAUUCCCCUUUUCUCUCGUUACGCAUUCGACCUGGGGAUGCGUCGCUACUACGCCCAUGACCUACCAUGUACUAACUCGCCAUUGGCUGUCUCGCAAAGCUUGUCGUCCUGAGCACCAGAGCCGCCAAGCACGCAAAACUUGUCCCGCCUCCCCUUGCUCGAUCGUUGUCUCGUCGACGCCUUGGUGCAUCGCUUUAUGCCUGGAAUGAGACCGUGACAUUGAACUAAGGCAUUUGGGGUGCAAUCGCCACCAUCCCUAACUCGGUCAGAUCUAAGCCGAAUGAGCUGCCAGCCCGUGCUAGUGCUCUGGUUUUUUAACGGGAUGUUGGGCAGAGGAGUUGAGGAUCCGAGGGAUCCAGAGGGUUACCGAACAUGCACUUAUUUUUUUAGGGGAACUUGCAACUUUAUUUAAAUUAAGCAAAGGUUGGGACCUCGUCCGCUACAAUAUAAAUAAUGCAGUCUGGAGGAAAAUCAAAAUAAAUCGUAAUCAUUGCACGCCCUCUCUCUAGCUAAACCAUGCGCCGCACCAUUUGCAGAGUGCCGAACCCAUGAGAUUUUGAACUCCUGCGAGUUCUCAAAAGCUCCUUAAUCUCCUCCACAACCGGGCCAAACGUCGAAAGGUUCUUGCCUUCUCCUUGAAGCAUCGCCACCACCUCCUGACUAUCCAGCUCGACAUGGAGUCGUUGCACGUCCAUAGUAAUCGCCAUUUGCACGGCGCUUUUCGCUGCAAGAAUCUCCGAGAGCUGGGGGUGGCCGGCACCUGGGAAGCAGAUCGCAGCUCCUCCCCUAAAAGCACCAUGGUGAUCCCUGAGAACCACUCCUCCCCCCUUGUCGUCCGUUCGGGCCGUCGCUCCAUCCGCAUUUGCCUUGGUCCAUCCCGGCUCCGGUGGAAGCCACCUUUCCGGUCGCCUUGGCUCCUUGAUCGACCCCUCCUUGGAGUGAACUAGACGCCAUUCCUGGAUAUAACAGUGAACUUUCUCUGCCAACUCUCGAGCAUCUUGGAUCCUUCUCCCGUCCCUAGCAUCAUUUCUUGCGCACCAAAUACCAUACAGAGCCUGGACCAUCAUUUCGCGUUUAGCCCCGCUCGCUUCCGCAAACCAGGCCUUGAGCCACGCCACCAGGCCAGUCAGAGAACCGUCCAUCGCCGGCGGCCUGACAACAGGCUCCCCCUUGUUCUCGCACAAAUAUUUCUAGAAGAGCUCGGAGUGGGGGCACGCCCAAAAGCGAUGGUAUAAGGUUUCUUCCCUGCCACAAGCGCAACAGAACACACCCGGUUUGAUUCGUCUACGGUGCAGUUCGGUUCCGACAGCUAGGCCAUUCUUCAGCAACCUCCAAGUAUGAAUCUUGGCCUUCCCCGGCGCAUUAGUGUCCCAUAAAGCGAGCCAAGCCUUGUGCUCCUUGCUGGGCAUCGACGAUCCCGACUGUCCGGUUUUCACGUCCCGUAAGCUCAUGCCGAAGUGGUAGGCGGACUUGACAGUGAACUCGCUCCUUCUUGGUGAAGUUCCAUGCAAUAUAAUCUUGCAUGUUCGCCCCCCCCCACCACCACCACAAUAUGCUUGAUAUCCUCAACGUCUCCCGGUGAAAACAUCAUCUCCAGCUUCUCCAUAUCCCAUGCACUUAUUAUUUCGUAGUCAUUUUUCAUUGCGAAGCGAUAUGAGAUGGCAACAUCUUAUGUUACUCAAUUUGUCUCUCUCUUUAACUACUUACCACAUCAUCUUUUUGCCUAUAUAAAUACCUACAAUCAUUUAAUAAAAGAUUAAUUGCUAUUUCAUUUUACAUCUUCGUCGAUCGUCCCUUGUUUACUUUGGGUCAUAAAUGACUAUAAAUCGUCCUUGGUGGCAACGUUCGCCCAUCCUCCCCUUCUCUUGGCGUGCGCCACUUGAAUGCGGCGUCUUCCCAUGAUCUGAUCCAGCAACGCUCGCAUAGUAAGUUUAGCUCAAUGAUAGAAUCACACACUUGAUAAAAAAUGGCAUACCUCCAAACUUACAAGUUUUCUAGGCCGUGUCUUCCCUCUCUCUAUGCAAUCUCUCUUCCACGCUGCUCCACCUUUGGUUCCCCGGUUGCUCUUUGUCCUAGAUGAUGAAGUGUUGUUGAACCGUUGAUAUGAUACAUGUGGAUACGGUAGAGGGGUCGUGCUUUCGACUCUCGAUCGAGGAAAAAUUCUUGUAGCUGGGAGGUAAUACCUAGCUACGGGAAUUUGCACAUCUUCAUCUCUCUUUGUGUUGGUUAGAUCGAUCUUGUCCAUUCAUUUUCAUAAUGUUCUUGGGUGUGUUAGUAUGGUAUUUUUUUUGCUUUGUACCAUGUUCUCCAACAUAGUCUGGUCCCAAAAUUGUAUAUAAUCAGUAUGACCCUCAACAAUUUAGGCCAACCAUAGUAGACUUUUACUUUCCAAAUACAUAUGGCCCCAAAAUGGAUCGAAAUUAAAUGGGCCAAACAACAUGAGAUGACCCAGUAAAUUGUAAUAGGCCUCUGUUGGGCCAACACUUCCUUAAUGGCUAGGAUGACAAGUUGACUAACGACACCAUCACUACGCCAUUAAUAGCGGCUGCCACGUGCCAGUCUUCUGCCAUGUCAACCUCACUCGGGACAAAAACACUUCCAUGUCACGCCAUUUUUUCUCAUGGAAAAGCACACUUCAAUAACAAAAACCGAGUUUUGUCAUUGAAGUGAUCUAUGACCGACAUAGUAUGGCAUCUACACUCUAUCAUAGAUUUGUCAUGAAUGCACAUCGAUGACAAAAACCCGCACCUUCUAUCAUGAAGGUGUAUUGUCAUGGAUGUAUUUUUUUAGUGUAGUGGAUAUAUGGCAUCAAUGCUCUAAAGUCUCAUGUCAGUUUAUGUGAUGUUGUGGGGCCAACGUUGGGGUUGCCGUGUCACUGUAGGGAUGACAUUCCUGGUCAGAUCCGGGCCCUUGAUCAACCCCUAGACUCCUAUGGUCUUACCGCUGAAGAGUGCUUCAGCGGUGUGCCUUGAGGUCUCCCUUAUGGAAAUCUACAAGGGUGAGGAGAUAUUCUAGCAACAACGGAGCCGGCAGAAUUGGCUACUGAAGGGUGAUGCCAACACCACCUACUUUCAUGCCAUUGUGAAUGGGAGAAGGUGAAAGAAAGUGCUCCAUCUCGUUUGGACGGUGCCCUCCUAGAGGAAUCCAAGGACAUUUUCACCCACAUUUACUCCUUCUACAAGGAGCUCUUCUGGGUAGGUCAACGACUACUGGCAUGAGGGGGGCAAGGUCUCAGCCACUGAGAAUGUGGAUCUCACCUUCUCAUUCUUGACCGAGGAGGCCAGUCGAGCUAUCAUGGAGACGAAGGUACCCUUAUCUUUAACCUUGUAGUUGAUGUUGUCCAGUUAUCUUGGAGAAGGCCAAGAUAUAUAGUUACAUCUCUGGUGUGGUUGGGAAAAUUGUCCCAAGCAGGGUAUCACCUCAAGUUCAUGGUAACACCUUGAUCAUGGUAGAAGGAAUGGAACCUGUCAUUGUCUACCUCAAAGUCCCUCGUAUACUUUGAGGCUAUGCGUCGUCUCAGGAUGAACUUCAGAAGAGGGAAGUGGUGGUCACGAGUUACCCUCCCAAGGAUCAACUACAAAUGCAUGACACUUGGAACAAAAGAUAGGCAGAUUGAUUCCAGUGUGAUACAUGCGUGAGUGAUACCUAAAAUUAAAAUGUAAAAUAAAAUUGAAAUAAUACAAACCGUCUAAUUUUCAUGAAGUCAACAUGCGUACACCGGCGUGAAUAUGACAAUGAUGAAUAGAUUAUGCUUCAGUUGGCACUAACUAGCAAUGUUCAUGACUGGUACCUAGAGGCAACAAUGAAACCUAAAAUAUAGGAAAAAGUGUAUGAAAACCCAAACAUACAUGCGACAUGGCAAGAAAGAUUGGCGGCUCAGUUCCAGUGUGGUACAUGCAUAGGUUGUAACAUGACAAGGAAGCAAAACAAUGUUCCACGAUGCAAUAAAAGAAAUAGUUUCAGUUGUGAUAAAGUACUAUGCAAUAAAUCGUUUCUGUUGUGAUAAAAGAUACAAGUCCAACAAAACAAUAUGCGAGUAAUCGGAAAAAAGGAAAUGUUUUCAAAUUUCCUAUUAAUAUACAACAUUUCUUACAGAAACCACUCACCCACCCCCCCUCCACUCUCUCGUCUCGCCGCCGCCAGAGGCUCCGGCCAGCGAAGCUCGGCUGGAUCCGGGGACGGGCACUUCUUCGGCUGGCGCGAGGUGGCAGGGCGAGCUGGCUCUCGUGCGGAUGGGCGGCGGCGGCGGUUGCCGCUGCAGGGCUAGGUAUGGUGUCUCGGCGGUCAGAUCUGGAUGUGGAGGGAGCGGCUAGCUGCUCCGGUGACCUCGGCCUGGUCCGCGAGGUCCAGCUCGCUCGAAUCUGAGGUGGCUCGCUAGCCGGCUCUGGCCCGUAGCUGCGGCUGGGAGGAUGGGGGGCGGGAAGGAGGCGGUCGUUGUGUGGCUCGUGGAGGUGGUUGGGGUGCUGGUCGGCGGGGAUGGGUUUCCUGUUCAGCCAACGUUGGCGUGGAACUCAGAUCUGGCUUUCUUUGAGGGCUGGAGGUGGAAGUGUUCCCGUGGCUGGAGGUGGCGGUGGUAGGGUGUGGCCGGCGGUGAGGGCUUGGGUGCGGGCAGCAGUUCACACCGACCUGACUCCGGCUGUGCAGGUGCUCGAGGUGAGUGUCUAUAUCAUCGGAGCCUUGUGCCCGUCCUAGCGGGGACGCUCGCCAUGGACUGACAGAAGGGUGGGGAGGUCUUGAGCUGCUGGACUCGGCAACCUUCUUCGACGGUGAUGUCUGUGAUGGGAUGCUUCAGGCGAAAGCCUUGUGUCGACCUUGUCGGCAACGAUGAUGGCGCCGCCUUCGGGCGUCGUUUCCCUUCAUUAAGGCAUCAUCGAGAAGCUACUGUUGCCUGCUCAUUCGUGUGUCUCAGGCGAAAGCCUCAGAUCCAUAUCUGGAUCGGACGACGGCGACAUCUUGAUGUCGUUUCUCCCCCUUGGGGGCGUUGUUUUGGGGCCACGAACCGUGUUGGUCGCUUGAUGUCUGGGUUGAAGUGCUUGUUGGGUUGCUGGAGUGCAGGGUGGUGGCGGUGGAAGUGAUCUGUGGCGGCGACAAUUCCUUGGUCAUUCUGGUGCUGAGGGUUGACCUAUCUCCUGGGCCUCGUGGCGACGGUGAGGUCUAGGAGUUUGGUGCCCUUCGACGACGCCUGAGGUUGGGUUGCCUCGCAUAGUGUUCUAGUUCUCUCGGCUCAGAGGAGGUGCAGGGCCGUCUCGGCAGAUCCUUGCCCUUCGGCACGGUCUGCGAUUCUCUCUAUCACGUUGUGGCUAGGCAGUGGGAAUCCCUUCGAUGGCAGCUGCGAUGCUCCUAGUUCUUCAAGGUGCAGAGUGAUCGCAGGGCAGCAGACAGUUCUUCCUCUACGUCUUCUCGGUGUUCAACCUCCUUUCGACUGAUCCAACAAUACUAGUCCCUGCUCUUCUCGGUCUGCCUAGUGGUCAUGGAUGCUAAGCUCUUGGUGUUGGCUGCUUGUCGUAGUUCGUUUCUGGUUCUCUUGUUCCUUCCGCGCGUGUGUGUGUGUGUUGGGUGCUGAUUCUCCUAUGAUGUUCCUUGUUCUUUCUUGUGUGUGUUGGGUGCUACUUGCUGUAGCUGUUGUGUUGUAUCUCCGUCUUUUUAUGAUAAUGAAAAUGGUUCAGGCCGGCGUAAGCCCGCCGUAGCACCGUAAAAAAAACAUUGCCACAAAUGGGCCCACGAAAUAGGCAAACAACAUGCACAAGAUAGAAAAGCAAGCUAAAUGUAUACUCCCUCCGUUUCUAAAUAUAAGUCUUUGUAGAGAUUUCACUAUGGACUAGAUACGGAGCAAAAUGAGUGAAUCUAUACACUAAAGUGCAUCUAUAUUCAUCCAUAUGUGGUUCAUAGUGGAAUUUCUCCAAAGACUUACAUUUAGGAACGGAGGGAGUAGAUGAGAUUGACAAAGAGAGAAUAUUUUGGCAAAAUUGUCGUGAGCAACAAAGCACUCAUGUAGGGAGAAUAGCUAAAAUUAUACUGGUUGUCCUACCCAAGCCAUCCACAUGGACGGUCAACACAAGUCAAAGAGGUUAACAUAAGUCCAAGCAAGCUACCAAGGGUCCAAGCAAGCUAUCUCGCUCAAAUAAGUCAAAACAAGUCUUCAUGGUCAACGAGUCAAAGGAAAUGAGAAAAUAAAAGACCAAGUCGAAGAUGAAGCCAAGGAAGCAAAGAAGCUCAAGCCUAUGAAGAGAAACCUUCAUAAAGUCAAAGGAAUUCUACCUCCCAUGGGUCGCAAUCUUUCUGCAGCCUAAUGGGAGCACGAUUCAUGGACUAAAGAUAGUUUUACCCUCUCACCUCCUCAUCUUAAGGGCAGCCUUGUUCAUUUGUCAAUCACAUCUAGGUUAUAAAUACCCCUAAUGAGCUCGUAACACAUUCACUCCCACUUGAAUAAACUCGAGAGGAGAGUCAUUCCCUCUCCCUCUCCUCAGAACCAAGGUUCGAAAGGGGGUUAGGUUUCGGAGUCCAAGGGAUGUUGUAAGGCUUGGACCCUCAGGAGUCGUGGGGCUGCAGCAACGGCAACGUUCUGAACGAUAGUGUGUCAAGCCCUUUUCCUUGAUGACUGCUCAUAUGACAUAGGUCAUGUUCCCACAAGGCGACUGCAGCUAUUCAAAAAACAUUGUUGUGUUACUUUGUCGAUGUACAAUUACCUUCGUUAUAAGGCCGUACAAUGACCUUCAUUAUAAGACCGUCAUACACUGCUACUUACAUUUCACAAACCCGCUACAAAGGAUACCCCUAGUCAAAAGCUGUUUUCAUAACAACAUGAUGUAAGUAACACGAGCAAAGCCAUACCAUAUGUACAAAGUUAGAAAUAUAUUGCGAAGUGCCACAGCCAGCUUCUGGCACAAUGUAGAGGACAACCUUUACUUUGUCAGACUUGCUCUAUAGCUCCACAUACAAUCGGAAAGUAUGUACAAUUCAAUGCUGUUAAUCACAUCUCAAUGUAGUGUGCACCAACAUCAAAACUACAAGUUGGCAAUCCAUUUUAGUUUAGCGCAGUUCCUUAAAAGAAAGCCCAUAUAUUUCAGCUCACAAGCAGUUUGUCUCCCAGCUCUUUGCGGUAGAAGUGAAUGAGGCCAGCGCUGUCGAUUGUCUGCAACUUAUCCUUCAGUAUCUUCGUGUAGUGGUCAUCCCUGUCCUCCAAGCUUCUCAUCAAUUCAACCUGAUAAGCCAGAAAUACUUCGAAUAUAUCAGAAGCUGUGUGCCCAGAAGAGCGACUUUGAGAAUACAACUGUGUUAGGAUAACUUGUCACGGAUGUAUAACUUGCACCCACCUGUCUCUGGAACGACUCGAAUUCAUCGAAGCUCAGGGAACCAUCGCUGUUUGCAUCAAGGAGAUGCAUGAGCGCCAUCGCAUCCUCGCCCUCGGCACCAAGAUCUUCCAUCACCUCCGUGAGCUCCUCGAUGCUGAUCCUCCCAUCACCAUUUUUGUCUAUAAGGCAGAAAGCCUGGUUCUUGCAUUCACCUCCUCGAUGAUCACUGGCUGGGAGGUCUCGAAGGCGAUGAGCUGCCAGUUCUGCCGCAGCCAACAUAAUAGCCUUGAGUCUUUUAGCCUGGAGAAUAUUCAAGGAAUGCUGAUUCUUAGUCAUGCCCCAAAAAUAAUCUUUCAGUUCAGUCUCAGAAAAGGUAUAAGAAUGCUAAUUUCAAGAUAAAACGAUAUGUCAUGAUGAAAUCAGCAGACAAGUGUAUCAGUUAGGAACAUAAACCAAACCAGGUCACUACCAUCUCAGCUGUGAGCUCUGAACUAACUGUUAUAACCCAGUGAUAAUUUCAGUAAGAAGCCUCAUAUGCUGGAUGAAAUUUAGGUGUAUCUUGUAGCAAGCAGCAUUUUACAUAACUUAUGUCUGUACAUGUUUUGACCCUUGGUUCGAUAAAACAACUUACCUACUAUGUUUUGAAAGAUACCCGAGUGCAUUGAUAAAUCCAGACGAUUCAGUGUACUUCAAAGGAGGAAAGAGAGUUGGAAUUAAGUAGAUGGCUCACCUCUCCAGGAUCCGUAAGACCACCCUUGUAGAGAGAGUGAGACGCUUCUCCACCAAUAGCAAUUCUGUGCAUCUCCUUGGUGCGUAUUUGUAUCUCCAUUAGUGGCCUCGUCUUCCCAGGUUCACUUACAUCGAUUGCCACAUGCAGGCUCUGAUAGCCAUUUCUUUUUGGCUGUGUCACAUAGUCCUUUGUCCUACCUGGCACUUCCUUCAAUAGAGCUCGAAUGAUUUCGUGUGUCCUGUGACAGGCCCUGGGGCCCCAAUCAGAUGAGCCACCAUCGCAUCGAGGGUCCAAGAUUAUCCGUAAACCAAGUAUGUCAUUUACUUCUUCUGGUUUCCGGCCAUCUUUUACUAGCUUCUUCAUAGUACUGAAACGGCUUUUGUACCGCCCUUCAAUUGAGAUGUCCUGCACAAUCUCGUUUAGCUCAUCAUCGGACUUCAGUGCCUGAAGCAACUGCGCCUUGUAGGCAUUUAUCAAGAGCUUGCACUCGGCUUCUCGGUUCCUCAACCAUUGAUCGACAUGGUCAUAUGAAUGAGGAAACAAGUACCUAAAAGAAAGAUCUUCCAACUCUAGCGACAGAUUACCAGCCCCGACAGCAUGAGCAAGUGGAGCAUAUAUCUUCAUUACUUCAAGAGAUUUUACUCGCUGAAGAUGCUUGGGGAGGUACUGAAGGUGUCUCAUCGUAUCAAGCUUCAGAGAAAGCUCCAAGAUUACUGCCCGGAUGUCAUAGUACGAAAGGAAAAACUUUCUCAAUGAGCUCGCACUUUCAUCAUCCAAUACGUCGACUUUCGAAGGAGCAACCUUAAGCCUUAAGCUCUCGUGCAGUAAAUCAGCUAUGCCAGUCCCAAUUUGAGCUUCUACAUCGCUCAUGCUUAUAGUCCCUGCAUCAAGCGCUUUCCUCAAUAUGCCGGCUGAAAUAACUUCCGCGUCCAUCUGCCGUCAUGAAUACAACAAGAAUUCAAAAUCCCUGUUAAACAUGAGAGCUUAAGAGUGGAUAAAUAAGCCCAAUGAUGCUUAACUGCGUUAUCAUACAAAGCAGUGCAAAUAUCUUAUGAAUCACCAUAACCUUACAGGGAAAUGGAGCAAAUAGAAAUUGGUCAAAGAGCCUAAUCGUAAACAUGGGUUAACUUGUGGUGGUUUUUGACAAUUUACUCGUCCAAGAAAGGCUCUGCCCAUCAAUACUGUCAGAUGAUAUUGCCUUCAACUUAUGGUAUAAAUGGGAAUUCAAUGGAAAGUAUGAACCAAACAGUAACGAUCAGUGACAUGAAACUAAAUAAUCAUAUAAGCCUGAGUUUAAUAGUUUGUGUAACUUUAGUGUGACUGAAACAAGGAAUGCCGGUGCCAUGGCAAGAAAACAGAUUUUGCUUUCUAAGUUCUAAUUGUUGUACACAAUAUUAUUCAGUGACUUCUUUCGAUGCAUUCAACAACAGAACACCAAAUGUGUACUGGGAAAUAUAUUUCAGAAAGAGUUCACUUAAUCUGGGUGUCCCUACUCCCUAGCAUUAAAAUGGAUAUCAUUGAAACGGGAAUGAACUUAUGCAUUUAACAGAAUUCGGCAUAUUGAGCUAGCUAUCGUUACUGAAUUAAUGGAAUUCUUGUUUCAAUCCUUCUCAAAUAAAUAAAUAAUUUUGUUUCAAUCUGUAAACCCGAACAUAAAUAAUAAAUAACAUGAACUUGAUCCAGGAACCCACAGUUAACAGGCCAACAAUUAGUAAAUUCUACUUGUUCAAUCAUGCGGACACGAAAGCUCACCCCCAGUCUCCAAAAUCGAACGAUAUAAUCCUAUUUACGCAAACGGAACAGGGGAGGAGGCUCUGGCUCAGCACCUGGAGGUCGGCUAAGGUCGCGGCCACCGCGAGGGCUCGCGUGAGGGCCUGGCCGCCGUCGCCGUCGCGGAGGGCGGGGAGGGCCAGUUUGAGCGCGCGGAAGAGCAGGCGCGACGAGGAGGUGGUGGCCAGGCCCUCUCCCAUCCUACCCGUGAGCUCGUUGAACACGCCCACAAGCUCCGCCACCAGCCUCCCUCCUCCCUCCGGCGGCGGCGUCGCCGGGGCCGAUAGCGACGAGGAGGAGGAGGUGGACGGGGCGGAUGGGGAAGAAAAAGCAACUGAGGCAGGGAGACGCAGUCGGUGCAGGCGACGCGGGUUGGGGCAUGGGCGCAGGCCUAGGUGGUGGCGGUGCUGGUGGCGGCCGGCGGGAACGGCCGCGGCGGUGGUGGCUGCCGUCGCCAUGGGUGGGGCCCGCUCCGGGGAUGGAUUGCAGGCGACGUGGCACUGUGGCAGCCGCUGUGCGGAUAUGUGAUGUGGUGAUUGUGAUGAAGUGGCGACUGGCUCGCGCCUUGCCACGUAGGAUUUGCCAUCUCCGCGCGGGAAGAGACGGGGUUUCGAUAGGAAAACUGAAUUUCUCCGGAAGUCCUUCGUUCAAUACGCAUAAACAUGGGCAAAUGUGCCAGUUUUUUAGCGUUUGUGAGCGAACGUCUACAUUUGUCAUGCGAAAUUAGAUAAAAUUAUAAUGUUGUUGUGUAAGAUUUGCCAUGUCUAAAAUGAAAAUGGCCAUGUAGUGCUGCAUGUCCUCUCGCUAGUUGAGUUAAAAAUUGUGGAACACCUCACGAAUCGAGGGAAAGCAUGUAUGGGAGGCCAGCAAUGUUCAUCCUAUCAUUAAUCUUGCGACACGAUUCAAUCGUCUUCCAGCAUCCAACCUAAAACCGUCGGCGACACCAUAGUGACGGGAUGAAGCUCGCGCUCUUCACACCGUAACCGUAUCUGGUAUGUGCAACAACGUUACUUGCCUCUUCUUUUCAGACAGUUCCUUAUAUAUGUUGCGAACCAUCAUCCUUCUUUCUACCAUUUGUCUCGCCUUUGAUUUCUUGUCAUUCGACAACCAGCUCUCGGACAAUAGCGAGACAAUCCUCUCACUUGCGUUCGUGAUGGACAUGUGUGUGCCGAGAUGAGUUGCUUCUGCUUUGCGGGCAACCCCAAUGACAACACCGGUUAUUUGGUCUUUCUUUUUCAGGCCAAAUAUGUGAUUGAUUGCCCGGUUAUUUGGGUUGCUGUCUGCUGCCCGUUUUUUCUCUAGAUAUAUUGUUCUUGGAGAUUAAAAUUGUGGCAAAAUCUGUAGGUUUGAGGAGAGAGGAAUCCUUGGAGCUCCAUGAGAACACUUUGAGUCAACAAGAGUUGCCGCAUGCUCAUUGCACGACUUCUUGGCAUGUAUGGCGGGAACCACCCCGUGAUUAAGGGCAUCUCCAAUGCCAUGCCGCAAAACGUCCGCAAACGUCUGGAUUGACGCGUGUGGACCAUUUUUGCCAUCCAACAUGGUCCCACAUACAUCAGUGGACCCGUCCGCAUGCCCGAAUUCUUGUAAGACGGAAUCAAAGUUGGGGGAGGUUUGCGGGAGUUCAGACCUCCACCAAGUAGGACUCUGACAAUCCCGACCCACCUAAAAUCCCACCCGUAGCCCGCGCAUUUGGCCACAUUCACACUACUUCCGUGCCAAACCCUGCGCAUUCCCAUCCUAUCUAGCCGAUUGACGCCUCCCUCCACCCUAUUCCUGCCCUUUUGUAGGAUCAGAAAUCGACUAGAAGGGUCGGAGAGGGGUGAAUAGAGAUUUACAAAUUCUUCAUUAAGAAGGAUUUCUUUCCAACAAGCAAAUGAUAAACUAUUCUAAGACGGGAACUUAAUGGAGAUAAGAUUGAGAAAAUAAAUGACUUAGAGGGAAAGCUAAAACAGGCUACUAAGAGAUAUCUAUCACAACAGAAGUUAGAAGAAUAACUAAGUAGCACUAGGGGAAAAACAUGCGGUACAUGCAUACUAAGUAUCGUGAGAGAGAAUACUAACAGAAACAUUGUGAACUAACAUAGAGGGAAAUGCUAUUUAGUUUCAAAGAAAUGAUCAAAGUGAGCAAUCAUAGAGAGGAAUAACUCAACAGAUAGAAAUACUGAAAGUAAAUCAAGUAGAGAGAAAAUCAGUGGUACUCGAUGGCGACAAGUGAUUUGUUCUACCAGUUCACACUUCUGCCAAAGUGGCACGUCUGGUUGGAGGGACUUGUGAUUGAACACAUGAGAAAAUCUCUUUCAGCCUAUUCUCCUCAACAUGAAGAACCUCGAACUUUAGUUGAUUUAUUACUCUCGACACAUUCUUCAAGGUAAACUCCAAACCUUCACAGACUUUAUCCUUGGCAAACCACAAUUACUCUUGGUUGCUCGGACCGACGCCUAAUCGUCUAGUGAGUGUGCAACUCACAACAAUAAUAGGAACAAGCUUCGUAUAGACCUAAUUCUCCGCGAUGCUCAAUCAUGUAACUAAAUUUGGGCCCUGGGGUUUUCUCUUGGUGAAAUCUGACUAUAGAGGGGUUUCUCAGACAAACUCUUGUCAGAUCAGAUGAAGCAGCCAAACGCUGAAGGUUGGGGGUGGGAUGACUAUUUAUAGCCAGAGUAAUUCCAAGGUACGAAAUUACCAAUUGGGGCCCGUGUCAUGCAACGGUCAUCUAACAUGUGUCCAACAGUCGGAUUUCAAAUUCACGCGAUAACUUUACUUAAGGAAUAAGUUAAGCUGACUCUACUGCAUGUGAUUUUCACUCAACGUCCAGAAGAACUUCGUCUAUGACUUAGAGGGAAAACACAACGCCAUGUAGGAUUUUGACGACUUUGCCAUGUAGGAUUAGUCGAGACCCCAGAUAUUAUUCGCUAUUCUUGUCAUGAAAACAAAAUUAACUUCGAUCAAUGGAGAACAUAUGUAGAGUGCCAAAGUAUUUGGUACAAAUAAUUCUUGAUCACAUUUGUUCUGAUGUUUUGGCCACUUUUGCCUCCUCUUCUCCUUCACAUCCUCAUUCAUAUGCAACUUUCCAACCCGUCUUCGGUGACUAUCAUCGCGAAAUUCACGUUCAACCUCUAGUCCACAUCGAACACUUUAUAUCGGUGUUGUCACACCCGACAUCUCCCAUGGCUACCAUUGCCAUAUAUGAAAGCAUUAACCUCUCUCACGGGUAUCACCUAGACAUUAGUCAUUGGGCCUCAUCAUCACUACCUUUGAUGCCAACAAUGAUCUGUCUGCUUCAACCUAAUUGUUUCCUUGUUGCCUCAUGGCGGUCUUGUUUCUAAAACCAAGGUUAAAACAGAACCUCCGACCUAAACAUGAGCCAUGAAACCCUUUCCUCUUUGAUGAGGAGGCAUUGACCCCACCUCUUAGUCUGACCACAUGAUCAAAACAUGUCUUGGUUAAUGAGUAUUAAGAGAAACGACAAGACACCGGCGUUGUCAAAAUCAUUCUACCAUAGGAUUGUGUGACUUUGCAAUCCAAACUGAUUAGAAUAUGGAGCGCGCUAUGCGUCUGCCGGGUGAUGAUUGGAUUGUAUCGUCUGCUACUAUAGUCGUUGGAUGGCAUGCACGACAACUGCCUGAUCUGAUGCAAUAGCGCCUCAACCGUUUGCAACAUGGCUUAUAUUGCGCUCCGGGCCAUGUUGCGCUCCAUCCAAAUGUUUUCUACCAUUGCAAUUAUCUGACCCAGUUUGCAACAUGAGCCAUGUUGCGCUCCCAGGUUGUAACAUGACCCAUGUUGUGCUUGGGGAAAACAUUUGUGGUUGACCACCAUCCUGUUUUCCGCCCCCUUCGCAACCUAAGCGAUGUUAUGCUCGCCGGUUGUAGCAUGACCCAUGUUGUGUAGCCCCUUUGCAAUUCAGAUGAUAUUGCGAAUCCCCUUUGCAACAUGCCCUGUUUGCAAAAUGAGUUAUCUGACCCCGUUUGCAACAUGAGUGAUAUUAUCUUCGCCGGUUGCAACAUAACCUAUGUUCUGAAGCCCCUUUGCAACAUGGACAACAUUCUGAAGCUUGGGAAAAGGAGGGAGAAGGAGGGACAGUUUGGGCAGCAAGCUUGGGAACAUAAAGGGCACUAGUAGUCGAUGGUGCAUUGCCGAGGCGAUGGCUUGCAGCAGCGGACGGUGAUCUGCAUCCCUGUCCUUGCAGCCCUUGCAGCGCCAACCUAGUAGAACCGCUGUGAAUCUUGGCCCUCGUAGCCCCCUGGCAGUCGCCUUGUGCACCAGCAUCAUUCACCCCCGCACCUCCCCAUCUCGUGCCUCCCGACGCCUUUGCAGCACCGGACCCAAUCCUUGCAGCAGUGGGGUGGUUGGGGGCUACCUAUGCCCCUAUGGAGGAAAGGGAUACAAGUAGAAUGAUCUUUCUAAUUAACCAGACUUACAAAGAUAUAAAUUACCAGAAAACUUACAAGGGUUCCUUUCUUCCGGUUGUGUCAAGGAACACCAUUUGCUCCAUUUCCCCAAAAAGAAUGCCGUUUGCUCCACGAUACUAUUUAUAUACAGGUCAACCUAUCGAGUAAGACUUAGCCAAAUCUCAGUCGGUGAUGUCAGCAUAGUUGUGGUGCAACUCGCGACAUGCUGCAAACGACAACGCCAAACGCUGCGAGACAUAUGAUGCAAGCAACGACGACGGACGCUGCAACCGGUGGGACUUCAUGCCGGGACGACAUGAUGCAACUAGCACCGACGGACUCUGUGACUGAUGGGACGACGUGCUAAGCGGUGACGUGCUGCGAUAGCUGUUGGACGGUGCUCAGUUUAGCACUAAUCUCCGCACUAAGAUCCAACAGCGAAGCAGUCGACCGAGACUUAGUCGAUUGAGGAGCAAGUUGCCAUGUUCUUGAUCACAACCUUCGAAAUAGGCUAGUCGGUUAUACAUGGUGCUGACUAAAUAGAUUUAUCGCUCAGCAUACAUUGCUGACUAAGUAGAUUAUCGCUCAACCAUGUAUACACACUACUACUGAAGAACUUCUUCAGAUAAGUAUAAUCUGUUGAUACUUAUUCCGUCUUGCCACGCCCAACACAUUAGUCUGUCAUAUUCAUGAUGCCACUAUAUCAACAAGACAUGACCAGGAAGCUGAGAAAAAUAGCUAUUUCUGAAUCUUUACUUGAGAUCCGCACAUUAAGUACGUUCGACACGACCAAACAAGCAAAUAAACAUAAAAGACGCAGAGACAGAAUCGCAGUGCAAAGCCAACUACAGGCACAUUCGUAAACGCACAUACGAGCAUAAGCAUUUGGCAAAUGUCAAUAUAGGGCGGACGUGCAAUCUAGCUACUCCAUCUUGGAGGCACCAAUAACGGCGACCUUCGCUUCAAUGCAGCAUUUCGUUUUCACGAGAUAACCAUUUGAACAGUCCUUGAAAUCUUCCAGCAAUAUGAACUUGUCCCAUCCCCAACUAGUAGCAUUCUUUGAGAACUCGCACCGGCCUAUCAUUUUCCAAAACAAAAUACGUAGAUAAAUAAAGGUGUCAAUCAGUAAAUGUGAUGAUGAUAAUUUCGCAUCUGAACUCCGGUCCAGAGUGCAAAAAUUUCUGCUAAAGAGCGAACCUUUUUGUCCAUUGUCCUUGCCACUUCCCUGGCUUUUGAUGCGUAUGUCCAAUUCUACCAGGUUCGCGGAGUUCUCAUGGAGUAUAUCCGUCACCUUCAUGGUCAGGAACACGGAGAUAAAGUUUCCAUUCUUAUCGAAUCCAGAUGGAUGGAUGGAGAUGAACCUGAAAAUUAGGGAGCAUCGCAUAGUUUAGUACAUCAUUGAUAAGAAGAGGUGGAACUCCAAGGGUCUUUAUUUUUACUUAUAAAAAGUGAAAUAUGACAAGUCUUUAUGUUCAAAUAUGAAUUUAGUAAAUUCUGUAUAAAUCCAGUAAUUAAGUGGUAACACUAUGAGUCAUGCUAAGCACUGCAAAUUGAAGAUGGUAAGUAAGUAUCACCAUUUGUGUCCAUGGAGCUCAAAAUCUGGAGAGUGGCUCGGGCUUUUCAGCGCAAAGAAGUCGUCGAUGUCCCAGGUGUAGACUUCUGGAAUACUGGAGAUUUUGUUUACCUUCUUCUGAACAAACAGCUUCUCUGUCGCAUCAUUAGUUUGAGCAGCAGUAACUUUGAUAAACUCGACACCGAAAGCACAGCUGUUUUCGACGAGGAAUCCAGAGGACUUUUCCUUCAGUGUGGCGAGGGGGAUCAUGCAUGAUGUCCCAGAGCUUGUGCUUGUAGUCUGAAAAUUGUGGCACACUGCAAACAAAAUAUUCAGUUGUAAUGUCUGUCGCGAAGCAGGUUAUAAGUUACACCAUCAAUCUAGUAUCCGGCUAGCUAGGAAGGUCAAAGAACCUGUUUUUUUUCAGAAAUAAUGGGUACCUUGAGGUUGUUCAUGGUGCUUUCCAUAUAACUGGUCAUAUAUAAAGAACUUGUAAGUUGCCUCCACGACCGUGUCGGAUCUCACGGAUGCUGGCGACAGCUGAAGCCGAAGAGAAACAUAUUCAUUUUGGUCGCCACUCUUGGUGUCCCUUGGGUUCAGUCUCAAGUACCUGCGAAUCAAGUCAAGUGAAAGGUCACCUUAGAAAAGAAAAAUAGUCGAGAUAAAUGAAUAGAAGAAACAAGUGAGAACGAAUUUUGUUCAUGACAUGCUAUGGGGAACAAUAGUAGCAUGUUAAUUGUACCAUCUGAGCCCACUGAUUUCAAACACCCUGGAGAUUGUCCAUCCUUUAUCUAAGUCAAGGAGCGAGGAGAAACCAUCGAUUGUCCACUUGAAGGUUGUCUGCUCCACAGGAGAAGGUGGUGCCUCGACGGCUUUCUGGACCUGUUCCUUCUUUGAAUGGCCUGCGACAGCAGCAAAUUCUUACACAACCAGUACAAUAUCAAAAGAUUGUUAUUUUGGCCAAACAUGAGGUGAAAGGAAAGGCAGAGCAUCUGCUUUUGCAUGGCAUAAUACAUUUAUGUAAGACAAUUCAAUUUUUAUCUGAAUUUUGCUAAUAAAAGGAACAUUCUGAAUCUUGUUUAUAAAAUCAACGAUCUAGACUAAUUCAAGUAAGAAGAAGAAAAGAUGCCCAAAAGAAAGAGUUUACAGCCACUAGAAACAGCAAUGCUUGCAUCAGUAUAGUAGCAUCAAUCAAAAUAACACAAUACAUUAUGCAUAGCAGGCAGGUCUAAUUAUUAAGGAGAAGCAAAGAGAAGCUGAAAACAAAUCCUUACUGCUGGCGCCAGUAACACACGAGUUCCCCAUAGCUCUUGCACUUGCUCUCCCCAGGAUUCCUGUGCAAUCGAAAUCAAUCACCAAAUCACCAUGCCAUAAAUCAACAACAUAUAAUUGAGACUUAAGAGCAUACAGAGCAGUGCACACUAAUUUGAAGGAAAAUAAACUUGAAAAUAUUCAUGUUUAUUUUGGCUGUGUGCAUCAUGAUGAUGGGUUCUCCCCUUUUUGAAAAAAAACAUGAUCAUAUUCCUAGUGGGUGCAGAUCUCAACCAAACAAUUACCGAGGAAAAAAGGAAACGACCAAGAGAUGCAAAAACUGAAACGAAAAACAGCAGCACUUCGACCACGAUAGGUGAAAACCUACAUCAAGAGACCCAAUAACUUGCGUCAGGAAACCAGAACGAUGGCAGUUGUGAACCGUUGUGCAGUGCAGAUCUCGACAAAAUAAUUACCGCGAAAUAAUGAAUGAAGAUCAAAGACCUCAAAAAACAAAGAAGACUGAAAACCACAAACCAUCCACAAGUCGUGAAAGAUGGCAAAGUACACAGCUAAUCACAGUAGCGCAUUUAUAUGUCGCAGAGACGAGAUGGCGGCGGCCGGCGGAGCAUACCUUGGAGACGUAGUGCGUUCCUUGCCCACGUUGGUGUGGUACUGUGGCGCCUUAAACCCUACUACUAAGCAGAGGGUUUUAUGGAGGCGCAGGGGUGAUGCGAUAUGGCAAGCUCGACUCUACCGGGUUCGGUUGGUUGCGCAAGGCUGAUCCAGUCCCUUUUUUUUUUACCAAAACAGAAAAAGGAAAAAGGCCCCAAAAGUGGAGACGUAAGGCCAUACAGGAAGGCAUAUCCUAUUUGGCGCCUCACGAGCCCGCUCCUACUGUUUUUGCAAACGCGCGCUCACUCGCGCACGUCUAGUUGGGCUCGACACAUAUUUCCUUUUCUUUUCUGUUGUUAUUAAAACCAAAAAACUGCAUUAAGAGUAUCUCCAACGCGCCGACCCAAACGGACACCUAUGUCCGCUUUCGUGUUUGAAUCGACGCAUGCGCCCAACGCUUGCCGACCCAUUUUAUAGGUCGCGCGAAAAAAAUAGAACACACAUAUUUAGAAAAUAAAAAAACAUUAAUUAAACAUUAAUGCCGGCCACAAAGGCCGGCUAGAGUCCACGCGUCCAUAUUUACAUUAACUAAAUUUACGAAGCGGCGCGCUGCCAUAGGCAUCCUCGUCGUCGUCGUCGGGGCCGGUAAGGCCGAUCAACAUCGGCGCCGGGCGAGCCCAAGGGAACGCCAUCUCCCAGGCUGUGGUGACGUCCUCCGCCGCCGGCUGGGGUGCCCCGCCCCGGGCACGGCGCUCCUCUUCCUCGGCCUCGCGGCGCUCCUCCUCGGCGCCGCGCUCCAGCUGCUCGAGGUACUCAUCCUUGCGGCGCUCCUCGGGCAGCCGGCGCUGGUGCCAUUGCUCGAGGUAGGCGCGCUCCUGCGUCUCCCUCGCCCUCAUCCAGUCCAGUGGUGCGUUGACCCACUCGCGCACCAUCCCGACCCAGGAGUAGCGCUCGAUGGGGGUCGGCUCCGGCUCGGCCUUCACCGGGGACGGCGAGGCCAGCGGCGGCACGCUAUAGUCACCGGCCGCGGACAACGCCAUGACCUCCGCCAUGCGCGCGUGGUAAUCCGCCUCCUCCCUGCGCCGCUCCUCCUCCUCGCUCUUCCGGAGGACAGACACCGAGAAGGCGCGCGAGACGCCCGCUUCGCGUUCGUGCCGAUGCAUUUCUGUCGCAAAUGGGUCCGUGUGGACGCGUUUUGCGAAUGAGUCAGCGCGUUGGGCCUUCACUUUUGUCCGCACCGAUCCAAACGGACUACGGCGGACAAAAUGGGUACGUGCGAUUGGAGUUGCUCUUACCAGCCCCACCAUCCUCACCAUAUGUGCUCACUUAUAUAUUCUUCAUUCUUUUCUUCUUACAUGUUUUCUUUUUUCUAUUUAUUUUUUAUUUUUUCUUAUUUUAUUCGGAAUGGGUGUGUUCAGUUUUUAUCCCUUUUCCUUUUUUUUGGUAAAUUGAAUGAUUUUUUUAAAAAUAUAUUUUUUUCAAAAUCUAUGAAACUUUUUUUUCAAAUUGAUAAACUUUUUUCAAAAUCGAUGAAUUUUUUUUAAAUUAAAGAAUUUUUUUCAAAUUUGAUGAACUUUUUUCAACUUUGAUGAACUUCUUAAAAUUCAAUUUUUUUUCAAAUUCGAUGAACUUUUUAUCAAAAUUCAUGAACUUUCCUAAAAUCCGAUGAACUUUUUUUUUUCCAAAUUCUUGAUUUUUUCUCAUAUUGACGAACUUUUUUCACUUUGUACGAACCUUUUCAAAUUUAUAAACUUUCUGGAAGUUCACUUUUAUUUUAUUAUGAAAUCUUUUUUAUUUUCUAAUUUAUAUCAUAAAAUAAUACGCGUAACAAGCUGGCUAUGUAUUACUCCUACAUGCUUAUGUUGUGUUAAAAGAAUGGUCUAAUAGAGUAUUUUCCAUAUAGUGGACAACAAAGGGCCUUCGGCCUAGUGGUUAUUGCCUAAAAGGUUUUAAGUUAGAAUUAUGUUUGUUUUUUAAAACGCUUCAGAAACACUAGCCUCUUCGCGGUCCCUGAGGGCCCGCUCGCGGCACAUAAGUGUGUCCGCCAGCCGGUCUAUGGCUUGAUGGGCGCCACAGAUGAAAUCUUCGCUGGUCAAUAUUGGGGAGCCGUCGUCGGCAUUCCCGGGCCAGUCCCCGCAUAGUCUCCGUCGAGGAGUCUCGCCUUGGAGGGGGAGCCCCUAUUCCCGAGGGAAGAAAGAGGGCGCUCCACGUGCGCAGCUUCCUCCACGUCGUGCACAACCUCUCCUCGGAGGUGACCACAUCAGGCUAUGUUCGGUUACGCCCUUCCCCGCGUGGUUUUGGGCCCAAACCACGGGGAUCCAGGCGGAUCGGCCCCACUAGGAAAUAAUCUUCGCGUUUUCGAUUUGACGCAUUCGGUUAAGCCUCGAGCGGAUCUUUCCCCCGUCAAAACCUCUCAAAACCGCGAGGAAAAAAUCAGCUCCAGCCCACCCGUGGAAAAAAUCCGCCUCUCUCUCUCGUAGUACGUAGGUCUCUCGUUGACGCGACCGAAGCGGGGGCGUGGGCUUAACCGAAUGGAAGAAAGAAGCCCCGAUCAUCUUUGUGGCGGGGAGUCAACCCCCACAGUGGUCAGGUGCUGACACCCAAUACCGGCAGGGAUUAGUUCCACUAGGGGAACUAAUCUAUUGUAACCGAACAAGGCCUCAAGGGACCCCGGCGAGGGGGUAUCAUUCGGAGGCUGGCCUCCCGUGGGGUCGUCCUACAUGUCUGAAGCACCAGCAGGGGCGUUCGAUCUGGCUCGUACCAAGAUGGUGUCUUCGGGCGAAGGCGUGCCGGGUACAUCCGCUCCAUGUGCUGAAACGGCCUCCGCGGCGAUCAAGGGAAUCGAGGCAGCGUCCGGCAGGACCUCCUGGUCGACGCCAGAACGAGGAGGAACAGGAGCAAGGACUGCUCGGUCUACGCCCGUUUCUCCAAUAAUGACGCUACGAGGUGGGAUGCUGGCGGCCGCGUGACUUUCCCCCGCGUCUGGCCGGGGGAUAACGGCCUCGCGGGUGGAUCGCUUCGCCUGGCAUGGUCUCAUGGCAGGAGACCUAAAACGUGAAACCAUAAGUCUAAAAAAUCACGGGAAUUAUCCCCCGUAUAAUAAGAAGAGGUAGGAGAGCGUUGCAAGCACUUACUCAUCAGAGGCAUGCCACGUUUUCCUUAACCUCCCUCCCAUGAAGAUAAUCAUCGAAGGACUAACUGCCCGGCGUCCCGUUCCCCUAUUCGGGGGAUGGGAAGGGGAUGAUCCGCCCACAAUGAGUCUUGGUCCGCGGGACCUCCCGUCCCCCUCAAGAAGCCCUGGAGGUGUCACUGUCUUCGGAUCGUCGUCCGGUUCACUAAAAAUGGGGAAAGAAGUGACGAUCAGGAAAUGGACGUACAGACCAAAGGAAGUAAAAGACAAGCAAAACUGACCCGUCAAGACCGAUAAUAUGAGUUUGACGAUGCCGUCUCUUGGGACCCUUGGGGAUAGGCCUAUCCUCUUCCCUGGGGCAUCGCCGCCUCGCGCCCGGGAGGAUUAUGUCAGGUUCUGACCGUGCGAAGGGAGAACAACCGCGUGUAUGAUGGAGCACCGCCCGAUCUCCGCCGCCUCUGCCGUCACCUGAAUCAGAGUCAGAUGCUUACCCCGACCAUGGAAACAGAUUCGGGUGUUCGGGGUCGAGUAGGUCCUCCGGGAUGAUGCCCCAUCGGUCACAUGCCGACCAAGAUCGAAUCGCGCUCGUUGUCGUCAUAAAGGGAGCAGACGGAUUCCAGAAGGGUGAUCAUGCCCUCGAGUUCAACAAGCUCCCUGAGGAUGGCAGCAAUUGUGUCGUGGUCCAUCCUGGAACAGUGAAGACAUUGAGGAUCUGAAGGACCGCUGAAUCGCCACAUCGGCUGGCCCCUCGCCUGCAAGGGGGCCAGGCGGUGGCGCAAAAAGUUGAGCGCCACCAUAUGGCAGUGAAGCCCGAGCUCUGACAAGCGCCGAAUGCGAUCCAACACUGGAAGCCAGGCUCUAUCGACCACCGGAGCCCUCCUCCAUCCUUUAUGCUCGAUUGCGCGGGCCAUGGCUUCUUGCAGAAGCACCCAGUAUCCCGGAGGCCGGUGAGCACCCACCUUUGACGCCAGUUCGCCGAGACAGAGUGCAGUCCAAGCUCUGGAUACCCAAGGUUUUUCACUCUGUCCGCUAGGAUGAAAGACACGCAUCCAAAGACCUGAUCCCCAGGGGACAUGUGCAUCGAGAAGAAAUGGCGGAAAAGCUGCAGCGAUGAAAUCAUCCCCACAAAUGCUUCGCACAAAUGGGCGAAUAAGGCUAGAGUCAAGACUGCAUUUGGGCAGGGAUGGAGCAAAUGAAUUUGGUAGUGCUCUAGAACGGCGCGAAGAAGGCAGAAAAUAGGGGGACCAACCCCGCAGCGAGGAAGAUGACGAAGAUGGGUGUGUCAAUGACAUCGGAUUCCGCCGGCCACCUUGAGUCGGGUCCCCCCCCCCACUCGUUGCUCUCCUCGCUGACGAGGUGGCGGACCUUAUCGAGCCCCUUGGCAUUCAUAAUCCUCAUACGUGGCAAAGCCUGCGGGGGUGGGUUCUGACGGUGUGGCCCCUCGCUUCGUCCUCUCUUUGCCGACGCGUUUUUUCUCCGCAGCGCCAUGAUACGGUGAGGAGGCGUUUGCUUUGGGAAGGAGAGAUGAGGCAUGGGCUCCGUCAUCUAUUGACUCUUCGAACUUAUGUUCAGCGGGGGCGGGGGCUGAAAUUGCUUGCCAAUCGAGAAACCAUUGUUUUUUGUCCGCUCAUCCCAGUUGGGGGAAUCAUGGAACAAGAAUCGAGAAGACGCCAGCACAUGAUGACAGUUUGGCUAACAUCUUCAUGAUGGCAUGUGAAACUAAGAUAUUGAGAAGGCGUAUUGCUGCAUUGAAGGCCGACGACACGUGUUGGACCCUCUCCGGUCCGCGGCCCCAUUGCUCCUCCUUCGUAUAUCACGGAGGUUGCGAUCGAAGAGUGGGUCAGGGGCUACUGUUGUACCCGUGGAUUAUGGGGUAUCCAGGAUCGGACGACCGAGACGAUCGACGGCACCAUGGAGAAGCAAGGAGUAAAUACGGUGAUGGAAGGAGUUCUUCGAGACAAUUUGGGGAUUUCUCCCUACCGGACGAGCCUCCCAGGAAGCCAUCCCGGGAACCUCACAUGAGAUGGGUGAAGGGGUUUUGCCUGGCGGUACAAAGGUGGACUGCACCUACGGACGAAGCAUGGAGCGGAAGCAAUGAGGUUUGACUUUAGGCGACCUACCGAUGACGUCCCGUCUUUGGGUGGUCAUCAACAGUGUUGCGGGACAACCCACUUGAGCACGCCAUAAGAUGGCUUUGUAGCAGGCUACGGGUGCUAGGGGGUACCUUCUGUGAUUCUCUCCCUUCACCUCAAACCGCCUUCCGCCCUCGCCCGCGUUGUAUAAAUAAGGGAGGAUUGGGACCUUGAAACCUUACGAUUACUGGACGUGUUCAGUCCCUGGCCAAACUCUCAAAGGGUUGUUGCUCCCAACUCAUAUGUAGGUUCUUAGAGGCCGACAGCGCACACUGCUAAAUUUAAUUUACCGGUGAUGUUUCCUGUGUUGAGACGCUCGUAAAGUUACAUGGACGACAAGGCUGUAGCGUGCUAAGUACUAGCAGCAUUUGAUAAAUCUAAACGCUGUCAAUACUCAGAUCUCAACGAUGUUUGAGUUGUAUGCAGUUGAUAGUUUGGAAAAAAAUUGUAGCCGCGUUCUAUUUUUCUGACACGUACCCAGUAGCGAAAUCCUACAAGGUUUUUUUCUAGUGAUAGGAGUAAUAUGGCUCCCCUAAGACUCAUAACAUGAAUAUGAAUUAAUCUGAAUAUAUUUCCUUGUGCACUUUUUUGUGAGUGCAUUGCACAUGAGAAAUUAGUAGUUGUAUUACAAUGGAGCAAAACUUGUUCAUUUAACUUAAGUGUUAUCAUUCCCGUAACAUUUUCCAUUAACUAAAACCCAAAUACAUGCAAACAUAUCCUUUAAACUAAGUUCUAAAGGCCCUCAGUUAAAUUGUUUCUGUUGGGGAACAUAGCAUGCAUUUUCAAAAAAAUUCCUAUGAUCACGCAAGAUCUAUCUAGGAGAUUUAUAGCAACCAGAGGGGGAGAGUGUGUCCACGUACCCUCAUAGACCAAAAGCGGAAGCGUUAGUUUAACGCGGUUGAUGUAGUCGAACGUCUUCGCGAUCCAACCGAUCAAGUACCGAACGUACGGCACCUCCGAGUUCAGCACAUGUUCAGCUCGAUGACGUCCCUCGAACUCUUGAUAAAGUGUCGAGGGAGAGUUUCGUCAGCACGACGGCGUGGUGACGGUGAUGUUGAUGUGAUCCGCGCAGGGCUUCACCUAAGCACUACGACAAUAUGACCAGAGGAGUAAACGGUGAAGGGGGGCACCGCACACGGCUAAGAAACAAUUGAUGUUCUUUGGGGUGCCCCCUGCCCCCGUAUAUAAAGGAGGAGAGGGGAGGAGGCAGGCCCUAGGGGGCGCGCCAAGUGGGGGGAAACCCACUAGGACUCCUAAUCCUAGUCGGCCCCCCUUCCUUCUUUCGGAGGGGGAAAGGGGGAAGGAGAGGGAGAGGGAGAAGGAAAGGGGGGACACGCCCCUCCCCUUGUCCAAUUCGGACUGCCCAUGGGGGGCGCAUGCCACCCCUUGUGGGCUGCCCUCUCUCUCCCCUUAUGGCCCAUGUGGCCCAUUACUUUCCCCGGGGGGUUCCGGUAACCCCUCGGUACUCCGAUAAAUAUCCGAAACACUCCGAAACCAUUCCGGUGUCCGAAUACUAUCGUCCAAUAUAUCAAUCUUUACCUCUCAACCAUUUCAAGAAUCCUCGUCAUCUCCGUGAUCUCAUCCGGGACUCUGAACAAUCUUCGGUCACCAAAACACAUAACUCAUAAUACAAAUCGUCAUCGAACGUUAAGCGUGUGGACCCUACGGGUUCGAGAACUAUGUAGACAUGACCGAGACACAUCUCCGAUUAAUAACCAACAGCGGAACCUGGAUGCUCAUAUUGGUUCCUACAUAUUCUACGAAGAUCUUUAUCGGUCAAACCGCAAUGACAACAUACGUCAUUCCCUUUGUCAUCGGUAUGUUACUUGCCCGAGAUUCGAUCGUCGAUGUCCUCAUACCUAGUUCAAUCUUGUUACCGACAAGUAUCUUUACUCGUUCCUUAAUGCAUCAUCCCGCAACUAACUCAUUAGUCACCUUGCUUGCAAGGCUUAUCAUGAUGUGCAUUAACGAGAGGGCCCAGAGAUACCUCUCCGUUACUCGGAGUGACAAAUCCUAAUCUCGAUCUAUGCCAACCCAACAGACACCUUCGGAGACACCUGUAGAGCAUCUUUAUAAUCACCCAGUUACAUUGUGAAGUUUGAUAGCACACAAGGUGUUCCUCUGGUAUUUAGGAGUUGCAUAAUCUCAUAGUCAAAGGAAUAUGUAUAAGUCAUGAAGAAAGCAAUAGCAAUAAAACUUAACGAUCAUUAUGCUAAGCUAACGGAUGGGUCUUGUCCAUCACAUCAUUCUCCUAAUGAUGUGACCUCAUUCAUCAAAUGACAACACAUGUCUAUGGUCAGGAAACUUAACCAUCUUUGAUUAACGAGCUAGUCAAGUAGAGGCAUACUAGGGACACUUUGUUUUGUCUAUGUAUUCACACAUGCAACAAGUUUCCGGUCAAUACAAUUCUAGCAUGAAUACUAAACAUUUAUCAUGAUAUAAGGAAAUAUAAAUAACAACUUUAUUAUUGACUCUAGGGCAUAUUUCCUUCAGUUUCUUAAUAUUUAGAUUUGCCCUUUCUUAAGUAAUUCCUAGCUAGAUACACAUUUACUUUCUUAAUCACUUUAUUUAUUAUUGACUUUUAAAUGCUUCUCAUUAUUUUGUCAUUUAUAUCUAGAUUACCCCUUUACUAAAUUGAUUCCAUGUAUAUGUUGUGUAUUCUUUGUACUAGAUUUGCUUUCAAAUGAUCCUCAUUUAUUUGUCUACUAAAGCGAAUAUUUGCCUUCAAUAUUUUCCAUUGAAUGAACUCAUUUAUUCGCUACAUUCAUCGUAUAAGAUUAGCUUUUAAAUGUGGCACAUUUAUUUUUCUCAUGAUAUUUGCACCCUCCUUAGCUACUCCUACAUACACAUUGGGAUGCUUUACACUAUUUAAAGAGGGGCAAAAGGGCCUCAGUGGAAAGCAAACAAGCACAAAAAAUUGUUUCCUUCUUGACAUCUAAAUGGAGAAUUGUCUUCAACAUAUUGUGUUGUAUGUGCUACUUCUCGCUAAUGUAAUUACAGGAAAAUCUUCCCCUACAGAGGUAUGUGUUAUACUUUACUCCCAUUAUUUAGGUCGAGACAUAUUCAAUAUUGCAAUAAUCACGAUUUACAUUCUUCAUAAGUUGACUUUUCUUCCUUUUUAUAAUUUGAAGCAAGGAAACUCAUCAAUGCCAUGGCCCUCUGUUCUUCGUCCAAUGAUUUUCCAUACUAGUGAAAAUCUUGCCUCGGAUUAAAAUUCAGUAAUCUCUUAUGUGAGUUCCAUGUGUCUAUUGUAUUUAUUUACUUCAAUUAUUAAUUUCACAAACAUAACUUAAUAUGCAUCCCUGACCCUUAGACUAUGUUUGAUAGAUCACGAGUCAUGUGUGGACUCCUCGAGGUGGUGCUGAGAACUAUUAUGGCAUUGAGGCUACAAUUGAUGUAUAUGGAUUUAAUUUACAACCCGGCCAAUUAAGUGCAGCUGGAAUUUGGAUUCUGAACAAAGGAGAUGGAAAACCAUCUUCAGCUAGUGGAUUUCAAGUUGGAUGGAGUGUAAGUUACAUCUAGGCUGGAGAGCCACAAGUUGAUUGGACUGAUUUAAUUUAUUAAUCAUUAAACAACUAAGGAAAUAAAAGGAACUAUUGUAAUAUGCUCUUUGUACUCCAUAGAACCCAAUCAAUAAUUUAUUGUAGAACAUUUUAGUUAGGACUAUUUUGUUUCUCAAGCAAUGAUGUUAUAUGUGUAUGUAAACUUUCUCGCCAAAAUAAAGGACACAAACAAAUCUAAUGUGCAAAUUUUUCUAAAUAAUAUAAAAUAUUGUGAAAAAUCAUCACAAAAAGAGCAGUUGCGUAUUGAAAAAAUAAUUAUACUAUGCGAAUUCAAAUAGACAUGGCAUGAUUUAAAGAAGUUUGUGCAUUGUAAAUAUAUCACUACAUAAGACUACCAUAUUUUGCGCAUCAAUGUGAACACUAGUGAAUUUUAUGCAGAUUUUCCGAGGUUCUACAAAGAUUCACAUACCCAUUUCUACACAUCUUGGACUGUAAGUUUCAUUCAGUGAACUCUUUAAUGUAUAGUAAUAAUAGUUUGUGCUGAAGAUAUACAUUUAGGAGUGAUUACCUCAAAGUGUUCAUUGCACUACUAUACAUUCACGAACUAUAUGUGUCAUUGGUAUGGAAAUAGCAGAAGAAUGGGCUAUCUUGUCAUUAGUUUUUGUGAUGUAAAGUUAGCAAGGUGUGUAGUAGGGCCUUAUUUGGAGGCCAUCCUACACCAAUAAAAGGUUCACACAUUGAUGCCUUUUGAAUAGGUUUGGUGCAUCCUUGGAUCCGAACUUAAUAUCGUGUUGCGAAUGCAAUAAAUGGAAGUGUCUAGAAUAGCCAAUGGGAUAAAAUAUAAGGCCUCCUUGAUCCUCCCUUAGAUGAGAGAAAUGCUUGAUUGGUGACUCGGUUCGAAGACAAGUCUACCUCUAAGCUCCCUACACUCAAAAUGAUCCGAGUCUUUCAAGGUCUCUCGGGUCUGUCUCAACACUUCGAGCUGUAAAGGGCUCUAUGGACUACAUCUACCCCUAAGCUCUAGUGAAGUGUGUAUGGUUACAUGCUUCACGGAGGGCUUACAAAGUUUAUGGGUGGCUGACAAAUGGCCAAGGCUACCUAUUGUGGUGGUCGAUAGGUAGAAGGGAUACAAUUGUAAAUUUUGUCUACUAGUCUGUGGUAAAAUAGGGAAGAGGCGUGGAGUAUGUUCCAUGCUGGACUAGUCCACAUAUCCCUCCACUUAAAGGUUCUACUCUACUUGCUCUUCACAUUGAGAAUAUUUCUUCUAGCUAUUGUUUCCUACUUUUGAUUUGUUGGCCAAGACUAGUUUCUUAGACUUUUGUUGACUACUUGAGUUCAAAAAUUCGCCAUCAUACCAUGUAGGACUAUGUGGGACCCAUAAGUAGGAUUAGCUAUUCCGUCAACAAUAUGUAUGCCUCUUUCAUUGUAAAAUGAAUUCACAUACUAAAGUGAUCUUUAUCACAUCCAAAAACUUUAGGUACAAUGCCUUCUUUUGGCCCUGAAAUAUUAGGAAAAGCUCCUACUACAUAUUUAAAAAGCGAGGUCUUCACCUUUGGUCAGUACCACUAAAAGGUUGAAAGCAAACAAAGUGUCUAACCAAGGGAGUAUAGAAAGGAAAAAAUGAACGGUUUAAAGGCACACUUAACCUUAAGGAAAUUAGGGAUAUGUCUCAUUGGAAACAUAGUAGCCAAGACUGGGUACUACUUCCCCCCUAGAAACAUGACUGUGGAUUUUUUUCAAAAUAAUUAAUGCAUAGUUUUAUGAAAAUCAUAAAUGUUACACCCUCCGUUCCAGAAUACUUAUCAUGGUGAACUAAACCAAUAAGAAUUAUGAAAUGGAGGGCGUAAUGUAUACCAAAAAAGUAUGCAAGACUCAAAAGAUUGUAACAUGUUUUCUAUAUUGCUAUGACAGAGUGGUGGAUCGCCCGCGAAGGGUUGUAGUGACAUGAUUUGUCCUGGCUUUCAAAAGACAUCAUCGAGUAUAGCUCCGGGAAGUAUCAUUAAUCCAGUUUCAGAUAUCCGGGGCCGAAAAUCAUACAUUACAAUAAGAGUUUUCAAGGUAAACAUGUUGCCCAAAUUCUACCUAGAUUAUUUAUCCUCUUGCAUUUAUUUUGGGUAUGGGGAGCAGUGCAUUUACUUUGGUGUUUUUAUAUUUAUAUUAAGGUGUUCAAAUGAGUUGGAAACUAGAACUAGCCGGAAUCAAACUGUUGUGGACAUUGUUGAGUCCUGCACCAACCCUGUGAACUCAGCAAUGUUCAAAAUCUCGCAUAAAGCUUUUGUUAAUUGUACUUGUUGGACCGACCUGUAAUGACAUACAAGAAAUUCUUAUCAUUGUAUAUUGGCUCAUGGUUGGUAGGGUGGGAUGCAACAUAUUUUUGGAGAAUGGCAUGCAUGUUAUGUAGUAAAAAUCUGUUCCUGACUACGACUCACACAAAUUUUAGGUUGUCACUCCAUAAAGUUACAAAUCCACUACGGCUGGCAAUGCACGACUUAAUUAGCCCUUGUGACAGCAACUUUAUGUCUAUUAGUCACCAUAACUUCUAAUAAUAAUUAUGUUGCUUACAACUAGGCCCAGUCUGUCAGACUCCAUCAACUGAAAUGAAUAUUGAUUGAUUAAAGCAUACGUAGUUUUGUGAUAUGACUAUCCAAAUAUGUAAUGCCUUCAUAAAUUCUCUUAUAAGUGUGAUUUUGAUAAGUUUAUCAAACUGAAUGCUCUCAAGAAUGUUUUAAAUAGUUGUUAUUUAUGUUUCCAGGAUAAAUCUUCUGGUGACUGGCACGUCCAUUAUGGAUUAAACGGUGGUAUCAAACCAGUUGGCUAUUUUCCCAAAUCCUUGAUUCCAGGACUUAUUGAUAGGAAAGUUGAGAUUAGUUUUGGAGGCUAUGUGUCUCACCAAAAGCCACAACCGAGUCCUCCGAUGGGAAGUGGCUACGCUCCAGCCAGUGGCAAUGCUGCGUCCUUCAAAAAUAUCAAACUAAUUGAUGCCAAUGGCAAUGCUCAUCUUGUGAACACAAAUCUUCCAUUUCGUGUGGACCCCAAAAGAUGCUAUCCUAUAUCUUACAUUGAUUCAGCCAGGUUCUUUUACGGGGGAUCUGGAUGUGCUGAUUAAAUCUGGAUGUCCCGUAUAUGUACUUGAAUUUCUAAUAAAAUAAGAAAUGAUUGUUCAUUGAUGCCUUCAAUUGAUAAGGACAAUUUGGCGGGUACCUUGCAAUAUUAUGUUGCCGCACAUGAUUUUAUUUUACUAAUAGGACAUCACCACAGGUAACUAGGUAUUACUAGACACGGUAUUGUCCAAGCUUGAGCCCCCAGGGUUGAGUAAGAGACAAGACCAUAUCUCGAGAAAGAGCACAAUGGUGGAUACGAGGUGAGAAUCUAACAAGUGGUUGGAUAUUUGAUGGUCGUGGUGGAUGAAUUAGGCAACCUACUGUAGAAGUUUCGAGAUUCUCUUUCCCAGUUAUAUAUUGUGCAAUAUGCAGAGCUUGUACAACCUACCGUCUUAUAGGCAAAAAAUAACUCUUCUUUAUAGAACUUAGAUAAAAAGAGAUUCAAAGAGGAUUAAAGUGCAAGUAUAAAUGCCUUACAAACUUCUUUUUUGAGAGCAUGCAAAUCGUAUGCCUUAACUUUAUAGAAGUCAGAAGGUAAAAUACAAAAAAACCAGUAUGUUCCCACAAUAGGUUGGUGAGUAGCGAACACCACCAGAUGGCGAGACACAAACAACCAGGAGAAAGUCAUCAUCUUGGAGUCACCCAUGACGGCAUACAUAGAGCCCUUGGCGAAAACUCUAGUACCAUGGUGAACACCAGUGGAACAUAAACAAGGAUGUCAUCACGCGUAGGCAGAACACAUGUGAGACACUAAGGACUGGAGACAUCCCUUGCCGAUUUGUAGAUGGGGUGCAAAGCGUGGAUCAAUCUCAAGGGGAGAAGUGUAGAGAGGACAUCGAGGUUCGGGCCGCAUGGCUGCAUAACACCCUACUCCUGCUUUUAUGUAGUUGAUUUGGUGGAUAGAGAGCUUCAAGUCCUUUUGGGAACGGAAAGUGUAGUGUUGCUCCUAUCUAAGUUCUACCAAGUGUCCAACCUUAUCCUGAAGUGGAUCUGGUCUAGUGUUUAUCCCCUGCCUCCCAUAGCUCGGUUCUCCUUUUAUAUUGCAAGGGACACCACAGUUGUUACGGAGGAGGGCAACUACCACAGAGAGGUAGGUAAGUUCAUUAAAUUCUUGAUGAAGUGUUGCCGUCUUCUGGUCUCUAAGAAUGAACACACAUCUUGUCUCCACCGCCCAUGGUGUUUACCUGGCGCAGAUGUGACACUCCUCCUCAUAGGUGCAGACCAUGUGGAAAUAUUAUCAGGGUGAUUCAUCCCUUGUAUCGCUGUCAUUCCAUUGGCACGCCUGCACACCCACUGCACAUCGUAAAAGGUCUGCUUAUGUAGGACUAACACGCCACCCGGGGGGGGGGGGUUGCGGUGGCUGGCUGUCUUCACUUAACGGAUGUGGGCCAGGUGGAAUGGUCAUUGUCGGGUGUGCUUGUUCCCAGAAGUCGGGUGUCCUGGAGUUGUUCCUUCCAGUACUUAGUUGCUGGCUUGGAGAAGAGUGUAGCAGAUCUAGACAAAGAUCUGCAUGGCACAACGGAGCCUGGGCUCCUUCUUGUUGUUGCUUGUUGAUGAUCUUGACAAAGAUUUGCAUGCUACCACAGAAUUGUGGUUGAAGGCUUAUUGCCGGAGUGUUUCUUCAUCUGUACUGCCUCGGAUGGGAGGCGACUGUGGCCUGUGCAUAAUUGGUUUCGUGAACCCAACGGUCAUGGUACCGACAGAAGGUUCCAGGCCUGGGCCGGAUGUGUACCUCACACAAGGUCAGUGUCGCGAGCCCCCUCAUCUGGUCAAGUCAGUUGCAUAAGAUAAAAUGAACUGCAGUGAGUGGAAAAAAAUCCCUCGAGCUACCUGUUCAAAUGCCAGUAGAUGGUUAGGCUUGAAUCCUCCUGUCCAUAAAUGCAAUGGGAUUUGAUGGCAUAUUGGGGUAGUUUGCAAUGCAUGGCGCCCUUUUCACAUCAGCGACAGGAAUCAAAUCUACCGCUUCAGUUUUUGACGACGUGUCGGUCCGUGCAUGUGGCCAGUUCACUCUUGACCCCCUUUAGUUCUUGCGCCGACGAGAGAAGUCAUGAUGCCGCUUUCCAUUUAUUCCCAAGACAGAUGAGACAGGGCACCGCUUGAGUUCAUCUUGGGAACCAUAGGUGCACUGGUAUGACCGAUGAUCCUCACGAUCGAGGAGUCGAUCUACCAGGUCCUUCGGCUUAUAAACACCGAGAAGGGACAUACUGCUCCUCCUCUUCCUUCAGUUCUUCCCCCUCCCUCCUCCUUCAUCUCCUCAUGGCAACUCAAGAAGUUGCAGAGUUUGAGGUGAAGCUCCUCGCAGAGGAGGUCCAGGCCCAAAGGGUGAAUCUCCAGGCCAAUGACACAAAGCUCAAAAACCUAAAGGAGAGGAUGAGGAUGGAGCUCCAUGUUGAAUAUAUUGUGUGCAUGUAUAUUGUGUCUUGGACCCACCUCAUAGUUCUCGUGUAUAGUUUUGGUUGUGGCCCCAUCCUGUACAUCAUAUAUGCGUGCCCAGUGCACCGAUCAAUGUAAUUGUGUUUCACGGCCUAUUCUUAGUCUUCUACAUGGUAUCUAUUGCAAGUCGGUCCUAACCCUAGCCGUCUCCACCACCGCGCCUCCACCGUGCCGCCGCUUCCUCCACUCGCCGCCGCCGCUCCCGGUUCCCUCCGGCCGCCGCUGCCCUCCCCACCCGAAGCCGCCGCCGCCAGCAUUCGCCGCCGCUCCUUCCUCUCCCACUUCCACACCCACUCCCCACCACCCACUCCCGCCACCACUCCCCACCCACGCCGCCCCACCCCUAGCUGCGCCGCCACCAACGCACACCGCCCCACCGUAGCCGCGCCGCCCCCACCUCCUACUAGCCGCACCAUGAGUUCCUCCUCCUCCACCGUCUCCAACCCCUUUGUCGGUCCAGAUGUCACCCUCGUUCGCGAUCUGAACAUCCACGAGCAUGUUCCGAUGGUUCUUGAUCAAUCCACCACGUCCUACUCCGCUUGGAAGCGGUAUUUCUCCUUGGUGUUUCGCGAGUACUUGCUCCACAACCAUGUCGAUGGCACCGUGGACUCCAACCUCAUGAUCCACUACAAGGAGAGAUGAUCCUCGACUGCACCAUCAUCCGCUGGUUCUACCUCACUAUCUCCAAGGAACUCUUUGAUACGUCCAUUUUGCAUCAUGUUUUCCUACUAUUAUUUAUGAUGUUUUUAUGCAUAAUAAUGCUUUUUGGAGUAAUUCUAAUGCCUUUUCUCCCAUAAUAUGCAAGGUACACACAAAGAGGGAGAACUUCGGCAGCUGGAAAUCUGGACCUGGAAAAGCUAUGGGAGGCCACCUAUUCUGAACAACUCCAAACAAGAUGAAACUUCACAGAGAUUUUUUAUGGAAUACUUGAAGAAUAUUGGAGCAAAUAAGUACCAGAGAGGGCCCAUCAGGUGGGCACAACCCACGUGGUCGCGCCCUGGUGGAUUGUGCUCACCCAGGCCCACCUCCGGUGCCCAUGUUUUGGUAUAUAAGUCAUUUUGACCUAGAAAAAAAUAAGGAGAGGACUUUCGGGACAGAGCGCCGCCGUCUCGAGGAGGAACUUGGGCAGGAGCACUUUUUCCCUCUGGCGGAGCAAUUCCACCAGGGGAACUUCCCUCCCGGAGGGGGAAAUCAUCGUCAUCAUCAUCACCAACAACUCUCCCAUCUUGGGGAGGGCAAUCUCCAUCAACAUCUUCAACAACACCAUCUCCUCUCAAACCCUAGUUCAUCUCUUGUGUUCAAUCUUUAUACCGGAACUAUAGAUUGGUGCUUGUGGGUGACUAGUAGUGUUGAUUACAUCUUGUAGUUGAUUACUAUAUGGUUUAUUUGGUGGAAAAUUAUAUGUUCAGAUCCAAUAUGCUAUUUAAUACCCCUAUGAUCUUGAGCAUGAUUAUCAUUUGUGUCGGAGUAAAUGGCCACGGGUAGCCUAACCGACUCGCCCUGGCUCUUCAAAAAUUACCAGGCCAAUCGAGCCUUCAAGCAUCCAGAGCACAGGGCCGCCUUCCCCUAGCCGGCUAUCACCUAGGCCGACUAGCAGAAGGCGACCUGGCCUCAAAAACCUUCCCGAAGAGAACUACAAGAUGGCCGACUCCAGGAAGCCGGCCCCAAGAGGACCGACUCCCAGAAGCCGGCCAUGAAGAAGUCCGACUCCCAGAAGCCGGCCAAGACUGCACCCUCAAGGGCUACACCCACAUAAUGGUGAUGAGACGGGGCGUGGCUACAGUACAACCUGCCACCCCCCGAAUCCCGGAGCACGUGUGGCCACAGUACGCCGUACGGGUCGGCCAUCCCCUGUCCGGCGCAGCACUGUUGCCAUGUUGACCAUGACACCACCCACGACAGGUGCUAGUACGGCCCGCGGGCGGCGGGCCCCUUCAGCCAGAGAGAUGCUCGACGGCGGCCAGGCCUCCCCCAGUCGGCCUGGGGCGUAGCCGGCUCCCAACAGCCGGCUAUUCCCCAUCCUCGAAGUAUGUGCAUCAUUAAGGAGACAAGACGAGGUAAGGCUACAGUGAGAGCCCGCAAGGCGGCGGCACUGUGGCCAUGCUUACCUCGACAAAGCCCUCGUCAUCAGAGGCAAGGCUACAGUAACCAGCCACCGACAAGACCCCCAGGCGGUGGGGCCGGCCUAUCGGCCAUGAGGCCGGCAGCCGGCGGGACCCACGAGUCGGCGGGCCCCAGCGGUCGGCGGAGAAGCCGGCGAAUACAAACACUGACGGCUAGGACCCGCGUCCAGCCGGAUUACCAUUGUACCCCUGGGGGGUAGGCCUAUAUAAACCCCCCAGGGCAGCCAUGCAAAGGAUUGAUCUGAUAUAGUUUUAGACACCACGUAGAGAAAAAGGAGAGCUAGCCUUGCCCUUCUUCUUCCUCUAGCCAAACAGCUCAAGGAGCCUCUUGUAGCUACUUGUGUUGAUCUAGUGAUCAUGCGGAGACCCCGCAGAGCAGGAUUAGGGGUGUUAUCUCCUCGGAGAGCCCCGAACCUGGGUAAGAUUCGCUGGCGUGCAUGCCUUCGCCUUAUCCCGUUUCCAGGCACCGGCGAUGUCUUACUGGCUCCCACAAUGAUAAGCCACCCGUUGGCAUAUGUCGCACCUACCACCCGACAUUUGGCGCCCACCGUGGGGCCAGGUGCACUGUCGUCCAGAGACCUAUUCUGGACGAGAACCCUUUUCCUUCCCCGCGAGCGUAGCCAGCCCGCCACGUCCGAUGGUGCCUGCCCUGACGCGCUGCAAGGCGUCGACGACGCCUGCGCGGCGAGCUGCCUCGCCGAUCUUCUUGGCGAGGCUCGCAUCUCUGACGAGCCUGCGUCCGACGCGGGCACAGACUGCCCCGAGAGCCGCCUCAUCAGCCUCCUCGACGAGCUCCACGUCUCCAGCGAGCUUGCUGUGGACUUGGAGUCGGUCGGCUCCACCGACCCGAUGCUGGUCGACUCCGACACGGCAUCACUUGACGCCUUCCCCACCAACAUGGUGAUCAUCGACGACCCUCUCCCUCGAGACGACAGUGGCAGCAGCGCUGUCACUGAGGUAUUGGUCAUCAGCCACGGCGCCGUCUCCGACGAGAACGCCCACGACGCCCUACAAGCGGCGCUGCGCGACUUGUCCGUCCCCAUCCCGGCCGACGCCGACGCCGAGACACUGGAGGCACGCCGCCUCGCCCUCGUCGCGGAAGGCCAGAAGAUAGCAUCCAUGAGACGCCUCACUGAGGCUCACCAGCGCGAAGUCGACCGCUCCGCCUUUCGUACGCCGCCUCCUGGCGUGCCGAGCUGAGCCGGCUUCGUCAAGAAGCGCGACGCAGCCAUCGCCAGCAUGCUAGGAGCAGAUCGCCCAGUCUACGCCACGCCGCUCGAGAACCUGCGUGUCGCCCAGGCGGCCGCAGACGAGCUGAACGGGCUGGGGGCUGACGAGCUCCCCUACAUGACUAAGCGCAUCCAGCAGCUGAUCGACGCUGCCGCAGGGCAGCAUGAAGCCAGCGCCCGCGCUGAAAGUCCUCACCCACGCCGAGAGCACGACGCGACAUCCCGGACGCCGACUACAGACGGCGCCCGCGCAAGAAAAGACAAGGAGCUGGCUGCUAGCCACAGCCGGACUCGGCUCACCGUCGAGCGCGACGCAGAAGGCCACCCCCGAGCUGUGGAACGACGAGGCGAUCCGCCUCCUCCCCUGCCUCGUGGGGAGAGAUAUCCCACCCCGCCGCCUGUCACGCAUCCGACUCUCGGCGGCCGACUAGGCCGCCGCGAGGGAGUCGGCGAGAAUGAUGCCCGCCACCGGAUCGACCGCCUAGCGCGAUCCCUGGCGCUAGAAGAAGAAGAUGAUGUCGGCCCACCUUGCUUUGGCCCCUGCAUCCGCGACGAGCCCUUCCCCAAAGGGUUCUCGCUCCCAAGAGACACGCCAAAGUACAACGGCUCCGUGAAGCCGGAAGACUGGUUGAUCGACUACUCCACCGCAGUCUGCAUAACAAACGGCAACAGGCGCGUUGCCGUGAAGUACGUCCCGCUCAUGCUUCAAGGCACGACACGCACUUGGCUGAACAGCCUCAAGCCCUACAGUAUCAACAGCUGGCUAGACUUCACGGAAGUCUUCGUCCGCAACUUCACCAGCACGUACAAGCGGCCUCCCAAGCCCCGCCAGCUCUCCUUGUGCGUGCAAGGGCCCAGCGAAUCGACUCGCGACUACCUCACGCGUAGGGCCGAGCUCCGUAACUCCUGCGAGGGGGUGCACGAGGUUCAAGCCAUAGAGUACUUCACCGCCGGGUGCCAAGAGGGCACCCUCCUCAAGCACCGACUCCUCUGCGAUGAGCCGACUACCCUCGACGAGCUGCUGAUCAUAGCAAACAAGUACGCCACUGCCGACUCCUCGAUGAAGACCGAGCUUCGAGUGGAUGCCUCUGGGAAGGUACUCGCUCCGGCUCCCAAGACGCCGGCUGCCGACUCCAACCAACGCCCUUACCAGAAUGACAACAAGCGCAAGGCCCCCAUGCCGCCUUCCACCAGUCGGCAAGUAGCCACAGUCGAAGACGAACAAGCAGAAGAGCGGCCCGCUCCCAAGAAGCGGAAGGCCGGCAGGCCGGCUUGGAAGCCGGCUUUCUCCUACGAGCAAACCCUUGAUGCUCCCUGCAAGUUUCACAGCGGCGCGAAGCCGUCCAACCACACGACACAGAAGUGCCAUUGGCUCACACGGGUCUCCAAAGGCGAGGGGCUGGUGCCGCCUCCACCUGCUGGCCCGCCGCCUCCGGCCCCUCAGCAGCCGGCUGUUCGCCCCGCAGUCGGAGCCAUUCAAGAUGAGUUCCCAGAUGAGAACGCCUCCUACGUCGUCUUCACGAGCCAAAUCGAAGAUAGGCACAGUCGGCGCCGACAGCGCCAAGAAGUCAACACAGUUGCCUCCAACAACCCAGAGUUCAUGCAUUGGUCUGAGAAGCCCAUCAGCUGGAUCCAGGCUGAUCACCCAGAGGUGAUGCCGUCUUCUGGCUCCUAUGCAUUGGUGUUGAACGCCACCCUCGCGACAGAAAGGCGAGCUGCCCGUUUCUCCCGUGUGCUGAUUGACGGCGGGAGCAGUAUCAACAUAUUGUACCGUGACACCAUGGAGAAGCUGAACCUCAAGACGAAGCAACUCAUGCCAAGCCGGACUGUUUUCCAUGGUAUCGUACCUGGCCUGUCCUGUUCCCCAAUCGGCAAGAUCAAGAUGGAUGUCCUCUUCGGAGACAAGGAUCACUUCCGCCGAGAGGCGAUCUGGUUUGAAGUGGUGGAUCUAGAGAGCCCUUACCAUGCAUUGCUUGGCCGACCUGCCCUGGCCAAGUUCAUGGCUAUGCCCCACUACGCCUACCUCAAGAUGAAGGUGCCGAGUUUGAAGGGGAUCAUCACCAUAGCCGGAGACUACAAGAAAUCUUCCGAGUGUGCUGCAGCCAGCAGCCGGCUAGCCGAGUCCCUGUUGAUUGCUGAAGAGAAGAAGAUGCUGGACCGAGUCGUGGCCAUGGCCGGCAAGUAGCCGGCCCUGUCCCCCGAUCCCAAGGAGUAUGACGCUCAAGGCUCCUUCCAGCCAGCCAAGGAAACCAAGAAGAUACCGUUGGACCCGGAGAACCCGGAGAGGUUUGCUGUCAUUGGGGCAAACCUGGACAGUAAAUAGGAAGGCGAGCUCAUCGACUUCCUCCGUGAGAAUUGGGACAUCUUUGCAUGGUCCCCAAAGGACAUGCCAGGUGUUCCGAAGGAUUUCGCCGAGCACAAGCUACACGUUCAAGCAGACGCAAAGCCAGUCAAGCAACCUCUCCGCCGACUGUCGGAGGAGAAGAGAAGGAUAGUGGGUGAAGAGAUAGCCCGGCUCCUGGCAGCCGGCUUCAUUAUGGAGGUGUUUUUCCCAGAAUGGCUUGCCAACCCGGUCCUAGUGUUGAAGAAGAACAACAAAUGGCACAUGUGUAUAGAUUACACUAGCCUCAACAAAGCCUGCCCCAAAGAUCCGUUUGCCUUACCUCGAAUUGAUCAAGUGAUAGACUCCACAGCUGGAUGCGAGCUGUUGAGUUUCUUGGAUGCCUACUCAGGCUACCACCAGAUCAAGUUGGAUCUAGCCGACCGCCUGAAGACCGCCUUCAUCACACCAUUCGGAGCUUUCUGCUACCUGACUAUGACAUUCGGCUUGAGAAAUGCCGGUGCCACUUUUCAGCGUUGCAUGCAGAAAUGCCUCCUCAAGCAACUCGGCAGAAAUGCCCACGUCUAUGUAGAUGAUAUCGUGGUGAAGACGAAGAAGCGUGACACCCUGCUGGAAGACCUCAGAGAAACAUUUGCCAACUUGCGACGGUUCCAGAUCAAGCUCAACCUUGAGAAAUGUGUGUUCGGAGUACCAGCCGGCCAGCUUCUAGGCUUCUUGGUCUCCGAACGCGGCAUUGAGUGCAACCCAGUGAAGAUCAAGGCCAUUGAGAGAAUGGAGAUUCCUACCAAGCUGCGAGACGUCCAGAAGUUUACCGGGUGCCUGGCCUCCCUAAACCGCUUCAUCAGCCGGCUAGGAGAGAAGGCUCUCCCCCUGUACCGACUCAUGAAGAAGUCCACCCACUUCGAGUGGAACGACCAGGCAGAUCAAGCUUUCCACGAGUUGAAGAAGAUGCUGACCACGCCGCCUGUCCUGGCAGCACCGACUGAGAAAGAGCCCAUGCUCCUUUACAUUGCCGCGACUAGCCGAGUGGUCAGCACAGUGAUUGUGGUCCAACGCCCAGAAGAAGGCCGAGCUCAGUUAGUCCAGAGGCCGGUAUAUUAUUUGAGCGAAGUACUGUCCACCUCGAAGCAAAAUUACCCGCACUACCAGAAGAUGUGCUAUGGAGUAUACUUCGCUGCCCAGAAGCUGAAGCCCUACUUUCAAGAGCAUCCCAUCAUGGUCGUAUGCACUGCCCCGCUUGCCGAGAUCAUAGGCAGCCGGGAUGCAUCCGGCCGGGUGGCUAAGUGGGCCAUUGCGCUGGCUCCCUACACAAUCUUCUACUAGCCCCGCACCGCCAUCAAGUCCCAAGCAUUGGCCGACUUCCUUGUCGACUGGGCCGAGACCCAGUACCUACCGCCGACUCCCGACUCCACUCAUUGGCGGAUGCACUUCGAUGGAUCCAAGAUGCGCACCAGCUUGGGAGCCGGCAUCGUCCUCACCUCUCCCAAGGGCGACAAACUCAUAUACACAUUGCAAAUUCAUUUUGCCGCCUCCAACAAUGUGGCCGAGUACGAGGCGCUCAUACACGGGCUCCGCCUAGCCAAAGAACUCGGCAUACGCCGGAUCCUGUGCUAUGGCGAUUCGGAUCUGGUAGUCCAACAAUCAUCUGGCGACUGGGACGCCAAGGACGCAAACAUGGCGAGCUACCGAUUCCUCGUCCAGCAAAUCAGCGGAUACUUUGAAGGGUGCGAGUUCCUCCAUGUGCCAUGGGCCGACAACGAGCAAGCAGAUGCCCUGGCACGGAUCGGCUCCACCCGACAAGCUAUACCAGCCGGCGUCUCUCUUCAACGCCUCCUCAAACUGUCUGUCAAGCCGUCUCCAGAAUCAGACUCCAUCUUCGUACCGCCUACCCCUGAUGCAGUCGGAUCCGGCUUGGGGAACCCAGCAGGCGGCUCGGGGACUUCGACAGGUGGCCGGGGGACUGCCGUAGUCGCACCCGGCUCGGGGACUUCAGAACCCGGCCCAAGGACUGCAGCAGUCGGCCCGGGGACUGCAACGACACAACAGGCGGUGGCCGACUCCAACUCUUCAGCACCCAACCCACCCACCCUGGUCGCAGUAGCCGUAUUGGCAAUAGAAGAAGUCGCAACUCCAUCAUGGGCCCAACCCAUCCUCAACUUCCUAGUAAACAGAGAGCUGCCGACUGAUGAGAUCUCGGCAAGACAAGUUCAACGCCGAGCCAGAGCAUACACAAUAAUCAACAGAUAACUCAUUAAGCGUAGCGUCACUGGAGUCUUCCAGCGCUGUGUCGAGCCAGAGAAGGGCAUAGCAAUCCUCAAGGACAUCCACCAAGGCGAAUGCGGCCACCAUGUAGCCUCAAGGUCACUUGUCGCCAAAGCUUUCCGCCAUGGUUUCUUCCGGCCGACUGCUUUGGAGGACGCCAAGGAAUUAGUCAAAUGCUGCAAAGGGUGCCAAGUCUUCAGCUCCAAGCAACACCUGCCGGCUUCUGCACUCAAGACCAUCCCCCUUACCUGUCCCUUUGCCGUCUGGGGGCUGGACAUGGUGGGCCCAUUCAAGACGGCGCGCGGCGGCAUGACACAUUUACUUGUCACCGUAGACAAAUUCACCAAGUGGAUUGAAGCGAAGCCAAUCAAGAAGCUGAAUGGGCCGACUGCCGUGACAUUCAUCGCAGGCGAGCGAACGGCCUCAUCCUCUCCGGCAUCAAGCCCCGACUGGUCGUACCACUGGAGCGUUCGGCCGGUUGCUGGCUCGAUGAGCUGCCGGCUGUCCUCUGGAGUCUGCGUACUACCCCAAACAAGUCAACCGGCUUCACCCCUUUCUUCCUUAUAUAUGGUGCCGAGGCGGUCAUCCCAACUGACAUCGAGUUCGACUCGCCUCGAGUCACCAUGUACACGGAGGCGGAGGCCUAGGAAGCGCGAGAAGAUGGCGUCGACCUGCUGGAAGAGGGCCGGCUGUUAGCACUCAGCCGGUCCGCCAUCUACCAGCAGGGUUUGCGCCAUUACCAGAACCGGAAGGUCAAGCCAAGGUCCUUCCAAGAAGGCGAUCUUGUGCUCCGGCUGAUCUAGCGAAUAGCCGGCCAGCACAAGCUCUCGGCCCCUUGGGAAGGCCCCUUCGUCGUCAGCAAGGCCCUAGGCAAUGACUCCUACUACUUGAUCGACGUAUAGAAGCCGAAGGCACGCAAGAGAGAUGAUUCUGGCAAGGAGUCGGAAUGACCAUGGAACGCCAAUCUCCUCAGAAGAUUUUACAGUUGAAAGCAGUAUGUACCACGCUACCUUUUUGUAUUAAGUACAAGACAACGGGCCCCCCGAGGUGUACUCGGGGACUACCCUCUUUUAUCUAUGUAUGACGAGUGUCAUACCUAUGAAUGUAUUGUUACAUUUGAUUUUCUGUCCGGCACCGGGUUCGACCAGUCGGCCCGGGGACUUGCCGCUUUGAGUUAUAUUAAAGUUCUGUCUGCAGUCAGACAAGUAGUGUGCCAGCGCCCGAGCCCUCUCUUGUAGAAAGUCGCAGCUCGAAGAACCGACUGACCGACUGGCAAGAGCCAAAGGCAGGAAAGGAUGCCCACACGAAAAACGGCUAAGGACUAAUGAACCUAUAUAACACAAGCCGGCCUCCCAGCACGCCUACCAGCUGUCAGAACAGCCGGCUGGCCGGCUACCCAUUCACUUUGCUACAAUCCAAGAAAGCUAGAGUACUUGCCCUCCCAACCGGCCAAGCACUUCUCCAGACACAGACUGCAGAGCAGCUGUCCGGCUGAGAAAGCGGCGACCAAGGGAGGGCGGCAAAGGAAACAACCAAAGGAUGAAAAGCAAGAACAAUGGGAAGCCAAACACAUGCAUGAUUAUAUUUACACAAAAGGCCUUCGAAAGGCCGGCAUUUAACAUAGUUUGAAUACACCCCCAGUGGGUGGAACUGUGCAAAUUUAACAAAAUAUUGUUCAAAGAGUAAUAAAACAUGAAAGUAAAGGCGGCAGAUUAGGCUAAGGGCGCAACAGGCGAGCCGGGCUGGUCGGUGGAGACGACAGCGCCAGCUGGAGGAGUGGCCGGCUGGCGAGUCUCGGCUUGAUCAUCGCUGGCUGCAAGCGGUGCGCUCGCACGCGCCUCGUUGCUGGAGGCACGAUCAAGCUGAGGCUGCCGGCUGCUCCACCAUCUGGCACGACGUCUUCACCAUCCUCCUCCUCCUCCUCACCCUCAUCGCUGGAGUCGAUCUCCUCCGCCGAGUCCUCGCCAUCUGCUGGGUUCAGCCCGAACCACUCCUCCGGCUGAGCAACGCCGUUAUCAUCCACCUCAGGAGCAAAGGCGCUGGUGUCGGUGUAGUCGGCGAUCACCGAGGCACGCUGGAUGAUAGGCGGCCGCGCCGACUCUAGCUCCGUGUCGGCCUCCUGCCGCCAGGUGGCCAGCUAGUCCAAGCUCAGCUCAGGAUACCAGGCUUUGACGAACUCCAGCGCCCGCCUGGCGCCUGACCGAGCUGCAGAAGCCUUCCAGGCCUCGAAGCGGCCGGCCGCUACCUCCAGCCAGUCGGCGGUCCGACUGGGGGGUGCGGGGAAUCACCUCGCCGGGCCAGAGAGCGGCCAGCACUUGCGCCCCAACACACUGAAGCCGACGGAGCAUGCGGUGAGCCGGCUGGAGGUGGGCUUGAAUCGCCAGGAGCUGUUCCUCAAGCGACCGGUGAGCGUUCGACGCGAUCUCAGUGCCAGCCUGCCUUUGUGCCUCGCGAUGGGCCUCAAUGACCUGGUUGGCGGCAGUAGAGUAACCAGGGAAGUACUCUGCACAAGAAAGAAAGAAAGAGAAGGAAGAGAAAAAUACAAAGUUAGAAAAUGAACCAAAUGGCAAGCGGCAAGCAAGGAACGAAGAAGAAGGCAGCCUACCGUCAACCAAGUCUUCGAUCUGGCCGUAGCCGUUGAUCAACGACUGCCUCGCUUCAGCCCAGCUCGCCGCCUCGGUCUCGUACUCGGCUUGGAGGGCGGCCUCACUGUCCUGCACCGCCUUCAGGGCCGCCUUGUGGCUCUCCUCCUGGUCGGCCAGCUUCUUGACCAGGCGGUCACCCUCCUGAGCCAAGGCGUCGAACUCGGCUUUUCCUUAGCGCGAAGGGCGGCCUGGGUCCCACCCAACUGCUCCCUCAGUUUGGCGUUGGCCGCUGCAGAUAUGGCAAAGAAGAAAAAAGCAAUAAGAAAGAAGUCGUCAGGAAAGAUCCGGCCCGACUGCUCAGCAGUCGGCCCGAAUCUCGGGGACUACACCCAGUGGGUGCGCUGACGCGCCCCCACGUAAGAUAAAAAAAAGGAAGCACCUACCCCGGCUCUCCGUUAGAUCAGCGGUCUUCUGGGACAGCUCCCGAGCCUGGGAGUUGAAGGCAGCCGCACGAAGGUUAUGGUAGUCCUGCAAGUCGGACAAAGAAGCGAGUAAGAACAAGAUAGCAAAUAAAGUCUACCAAGAAGUUCCAAGCCGCCUGCUCCACAGCCGACUCGGAACUCGGGGACUACACCCAGUGGGUGCGCUGACGCGCCCCCACGGAAGAAACCAAGAUCAAGAAGCAAAAAACGGGAAGACUCACCCGAAUGGCUGCCCGUGUCGUGAGGAUCUCGUCAUUGUACUGCCUCAGCACGGCGGCCUGGGACUGAAGCCGGUUCCGGACUUCUUGCACCGCCACAUCACCACGGCUGUCCCACCACCCGGCGUCCACCCCAAGCUGGCGCUGGCCGUCUCCACGUCCUGGGCCGACGAGCUGGAGCCCGCGGCCUUCUGCGGGUCCGGCGCCGUAGUUGCCUUCCCCGCGCGCUGGCGCGAUGGCGACCGGACCACCAGGUCCGUCCUUGCAGCCUGCUCGCCUCCAGCCGAUUGCGCAGGCGGUGCGUUAGGCCGGCUGCCUUGGGCCGCCCCAGUCGGCGAUGGUGGUGCCGCCUCCCUCUCCUGGACGACGACGUCGUCCUCCUCCCUCUCCAUCCCCGGCAGGUCGCCACCGGCUUCCUCCGGCGGGGGCUCCGGGAUCUCAGGCGCCACGGCGCGCAGGGGGGUGACAAGCAAGGCCCCGGCCGCUGCGGCUGCAGCCUCCGCCUGAGCCUUGGCCGCCGCGUCGGCUUGUACCUUCACCGACUCCUCCGCCUCCUCCUGCGCCGCCUUGGCGACAGCCGCCCUCAGCUCUUCCGCGUCCCGCGCCUCCCGCGCAUUUCGCUCCGUCACCGCUUGAAGCUCGGCGCGGGGGUCCACGUGGCAGGUGCUCCCGGAUCCUCCCGGUGAUCCAACCACGGAGGCGGCAGCGACCCACUCAAGAGAAAGCAGAGCCCUGUUUUUUAAGUCAAGACAAGGAUUCAGAAACCGACAAGAAAAGAAGAAGGAAUACGCGAGAGAAUCGACACUUACGCUGAAACCUUUUGCGGCUGCUUCACCACCUUGCGGAAGCGGGCCGCCUCUUCCUGCCUGGUCGCCGCCGCCCCGCUCUUGGGCUUCUUCGGCCGACUGCCGAUAGGGCCAACACAGCCCGGCGCUUCUACGCGCCGCCUCGGGCAGCCGGCGUGGCAGAUGAGCCCGCGCCCUGAUCAGACGCCGGCUGGCGGCGCGGGACGAUUUCCGCCUCGUCGUCAUCCGGCCAGUCUUCGAAGCUGGCUCCAAGCCCGGAGCCGCCUGCUUCGCUGCCUCCCGCCUCGGUGUUGUCGUCCAUGGCGGCCGCUCCCAAGUCGGGGUCCUCCAAGUCGUGCGCCGCCCGGUCGGGGAGAAAUUGGCGAUCCGCCCCCGCUGACCCGGCAGCCGGUUGAAGGAGAGGGUUCUGCCAAGACGAGCCGACUGGUCAGAGUCGGCCAAGAAAAACUUGGUGAUAAAAAUAAAGAAGAGAAGAUUUAGAAAGCGUACCAUAGGCGGAGGAUUGGCGCGGGAGUAUGGCUCCUUGCCAAAUUGCCACUCCUCGAAGAGCUUGCAGUUAGCGAGAUAAUUCACCAUGUGAGCUACCUCAUCAUGAGGCAUCUCCUUGGUGAACAUCCGACUCGGAUCUAGUUGACCGCUCAUUUGACAGAUCAAAUGAGGGUGGCCUUGAAGUGGGAGCACCCGGCGCACCACGAAGGCGGCCAGCAGGUCGGACCCAGUCAGGCCCUCCGACUGGAUCAUUACCCGAAACCGGGCGACGGCGGCGGCCCCAUCCUACGUCAGUGUCCUGGCCCGAUAGGACCACUGGGGCCGCCUCCCAGCUGGCGGGCCGGCUACGUAAGCCGGCAAGUUGACGUAGUCGCCUUGCGGGGCGAUGUUCUUCACGUAGAAGUAUGACUUCUGCAAGAGCUUCACCGACUGGAUUAGUGUGAUGACAGGGAAGGGGUUGUCGGCUGCCGACCUCCGCAUCGCGAUGAAGGCGCCGCUCUGAGCCGGCACGCCCUGCAUCUGGGUGUCGAGCUUGGAUUGGAAGAAUUCCCCCUAGAGCUCGAGGGUGGAAAGAAUGCCAAGGAAGCCCUCGCACAGAGUGACGAAGGCAGACAGCAGCACCACCGUGUUUGGAGUGAGGUGGUGCGGCUGGAGCUGGUAGAAUUCAAGGAAGGAGCGGAAGAAGGCGCUAGCUGGCAGGCCGAGGCCGCGCAAGAAAUGCGAAUGGAAGAGUACCUGCUCACCUUCCUCCGGCGCCGGCGUGAUCUCCUUCUCCGGCGCGAGACGGACCUGCACCUGGUCCUUGCCGGGCAACUGCCGCGUCUUGCGGAGGAAGUCGAUGUGGUCCGCGUGGACGUUGGAGCCGUCCCAGUCUCCGCCGUGCUACAUGAUGGCAAGAAGCUGACGAGAAAGGGUGCGGCGGUGGAGAAACCACGGCCCCGCGGCGGCGAGGUUGCGGGGUAGUGCGAAGAUUGUUGGGAUGGCGCGGCGGCGAGAGAAGGAGGAAGAAGAUGGCGGAGUGAGGAUGAGCAUGCGAACGUCUGCCGCCCCCCUCCUCCCCCAACUUAUAGCCUCGUGCGGCGAAGCCGAGGAGGCGAGGCGUGGGGGGGAACGUGGGAUUAACUGCGCCCACUCCCCCACGUCCCGCGAUUAUAGCGCCCUAACGACGUGCAGAAACUUCCGUCGGAAGGCGAGCGGCCCGCUUUGGGCCACAGAAAAUCCGCGCCUGGGCCUAGGCGUGGAAGUGGUGGGCCCCGGCCUGCGGCGGCAUCCCGUCGCGCGCGUGGGCUGGCAGGCUUUUCUCGGCAGGAAGGUGCCACAUGGCGCGCGGGCGGCGAGCGGCCGGCCCGCAGCCCGGCGAGCGCACCGGCAGGCUCCCGCUUUCAGACUUCAAAAAAUUUCGCCAAGACGGCGCACCCAACCGAAGCCGGCUCCUAGCUGCUGGCUCUUCAAGAUAAGAAGCUGACCAAGCUUCUCAACCUCCUCUCAGCCUCGAAGCCCAACCAGCUUCGGGGACUACUGUCGGAGUAAAUGGCCACGGGUAGCCUAACCGACUCCCCCUGGCUCUUCAAAAAUUACCAGGCCAAUCGAGCCUUCAAGCAUCCAGAGCACAGGGCCGCCUUCCCCUGGCCGGCUAUCACCUAGGCCGACUAGCAGAAGGCGACCUGGCCUCAAAAACCUUCCCGAAGAGAACUACAAGAUGGCCGACUCCAGGAAGCCGACCCCAAGAGGACCGACUCCCAGAAGCCGUCCAUGAAGAAGUCCGACUCCCAGAAGCCGGCCAAGACUGCACCCUCAAGGGCUACACCCACAUAACGGUGAUGAGACGGGGCGUGGCUACAGUACAACCUGCCACCCCCCGAAUCCCGGAGCACGCGUGGCCACAGUACGCCGUACGGGUCGGCCAUCCCCUGUCCGGCGCGACACUGUUGCCAUGUUGACCAUGACACCACCCACGACACGCGCUAGUACGGCCAGCGGGUGGCGGGCCCCUUCAGCCAGAGAGAUGCUCAAAGGCGGCCAGGAAUCCCCCAGUCGGCCUGGGGCGUAGCCGGCUCCCAACAGCCGGCUAUUCCCCAUCCUCGAAGUAUGUGCAUCAUUAAGGAGACAAGACGAGGUAAGGCUACAGUGAGAGCCCGCAAGGCGGCGACACUGUGGCCAUGCUUACCUCGACAAAGCCCUCGUCAUCAGAGGCAAGGCUACAGUAACCAGCCACCGACAAGACCCCUAGGUGGUGGGGCCGGCCUGUCGGCCAUGAGGCCGGCAGCCGACGGGACCCACCAGUCGGCGGGCCCCAGCGGUUGGCGGAGAAGCCGGCGAAUACGGACACUGACGGCUAGGACCCGCGUCCAGCCGGAUUACCAUUGUACCCCUGGGGGGUAGGCCUAUAUAAACCCCCAGGGCACCCAUGCAAAGGAUUGAUCUGAUAUAGUUUUAGACACCACGUAGAGAGAAAAGGAGAGCUAGCCUUGCCCUUCUUCUUCCUCUAGCCAAACAGCUCACGGAGCCUCUUGUAGCUACUUGUGUUGAUCUAGUGAUCAUGCGGAGACCCCGCAGAGCAGGAUUAGGGGUGUUAUCUCCUCGGAGAGCCCCGAACCUAGGUAAGAUUCACCGGCAUGCAUGCCUUCGCCUUAUCCCGUUUCCAGGCACCGACGAUGUCUUACUGGCUCCCACAAUGAUAAGCCACCCGUUGGCAUAUGUCGCACCUACCACCCGACAAUUUGUGAGUAGUUACUUUUGUUCUUGAGGUCACGGGAGAAUCAUGUUGCAAGUAAUCAUGUGAACUUGAUAUGUGUUUGAUAUUUUGAUAGUAUGUAUGUUGUGAUUCCCUUAGUGGUGUCAUGUGAACAUCAAAUACAUGACACUUCACCUUAUUAGAGCCUAAGGGAAUGCAUUGUGGAGUAGUUAUUAGAUUAUGGGUUGCGAGAGUGACAGAAGCUUAAACCCUAGUUUAUGCGCUAUUCCGUAAGGGACCGAUUGGAUCCAAAAGUUUAAUGCUAUGGUUAGAAUAUAUUCUUAAUACUUUUCUCAUAGUUGCGGAUGCUUGCGAGGGGGUUAAUCAUAAGUAGAAGGUUUGUUCAAGUAAGAACAACACCUAAGCACCGGUCCACCCACAUGUCAAAUUAUCAAAGUAGCGAACACAAAUCGAAUCAACAUGGCGAAAGUGACUAGAUGAAAUUCCCGUGUACCCUCUAGAACGAUUUGCUUACUAUAAGAUACCGUUUUGGCCUGUCCUUUGCCUCAAAAGGAUUGGGCUACCUUGCUGCACUUUUGUUACUACUAUCAUUACUUGCUCGUUACAAAUUAUUUUGCUAUCAAACUACUCUGUUACUUACAAUUUCAGCACUUGCAGAUAUUACCUUGCUGAAAACCACUUGUUAUUUCCUUCUACUCCUCGUUGGGUUCGACACUCUUACUUAUCGAAAAGAGCUACAAUUGAUCCCCUAUACUUGUGGGUCAUUAAGGCUAUUUUCUGGCGCCCUUGCCGGGGAGUGAAGCGCCUUUGGUAAGUGGAAUUUUGUAAGGAAACAUUUAUAUAGUGUGCUGAAAUUUAUUGUCACUUGUUACUAUGGAAAAUAAUCCUUUGAGGGGCUUGUUCGGGGUAUCUUCACCUUGACCGGAACCACAAUUAGCUACCCCUCAACCUACUGCACCUACUGAAAAUAUUGAAUAUGAAAUUCCUUCGGGUAUGAUAGAACAACUGCUAGCUAAUCCUAAUGCAGGAGACUGAACCGAACAUCCUGAUAUGCACUUGAUAUAUGUGGAACAAAUUUGUGGAUUGUUUAAGCGUGUAGGUUUACUCGGAGAUGAAGUUAUGAAAAAGGUUUCCCUUUAUCUUUGAAGGUAAAAGCAUUGGCAUGGUAUAGGCUAUGCGAUGAUAUCGGAUCUUGGAAUGGGAAUCGAUUGAAAUUGGAGUUCCACCAAAAAAUUUAUCCUAUGCAUCUAGUUCAUCGUGAUCGGAAUUAUAUAUAUAAUUUUUGGCCUUGUGAAGGAGAAAGUAUCGCUCUAGCUUGGGGGAGGCUUAAGUCAAUGUUAUAUUCAUCCCCCAAUCUUGAGCUCUCAAAAGAAAUUAUUAUUCGGAAUUUUUAUGCUCGGCUUUCUCGUGAUGAUCAAUCCAUGCUUGGUACUUCUUGUACUGAUUCUUUUAUGAAGAAGACUAUUGAAUUCCGGUGGGAUCUUUUGGCAAGAAUUAAACGAAACUCUGAAGAUUGGGAACUCGAUGAAGGUAAAGAGUCAGGUAUUAAGCUUAAGUAUGAUUGUGUUAAGUCUUUUAUGAAUACCGAUGCUUUUCAAAAGUUUAGCGCUAAAUAUGGACUUGACUCUAAGAUAGUAGCCUCCUUUUGUGAAUCAUUUGCUACUCAUGUUGAUCUCCCUAAAGAGAAGUGGUUUAAAUAUCACCCACCUAUUAAAGAAGAAAUUAAAGAACCGGUACCAGUUAAAGAAGAAGCUAUACUUUAUAAUGUUGAUCCAGUUGUUCCUACUGCUUAUAUUGAGAAACCACCUUUCCCUGUUAGGAUAAAGGAACAUGCUAAAGUUUCAACUGUGGAUAACAAAAGUUAUAUUAGAACACCCAAACCUGAUGAAGAAAUCAAAGUAGAGCCUACUGUUGCUAUGGUUAAAGAUCUCUUGGAAGAAGAUAUAGAUGGGCAUGUUAUUUUUCGGUAAUGAAGCUACUAGAAUUGUCAAACCCGAUAAAAAAGAUAAUCAUAGACCCGUUGUUGGCAUGCCCGUUGUCUCAGUUAAAAUAGGAGAUCACUGUUAUCAUGGUUUAUGCGACAUAGGUGCUAGCGUAAGUGCUAUUCCUUACACCUUAUAUCAAGAAAUUAUGAAUGAUAUAGCACCCGCAGAGUUAGAAGACAUAGAUGUUACUAUUAAACUUGCUAAUAGAGACACUAUUUCACCAAUUGGGAUUGUUAGAGAUGUUGAAGUCUUGUGUGGGAAAAUAAAAUACCCUACUGAUUUUCUUGUUCCUGGUUCCCCACAAGAUGACUUUUGUCCCAUUAUCUUUGGUAGACCUUUCUUGAACACCGUUAAUGCUAAAAUAGAUUGUGAGAAACAAACUGUCGGUGUUAGUUUUGGUGAUGAGUCUCAUGAGAUUAAUUUUUCCAAGUUUAGUAGAAAGCUUCAUGAAAAAGAAUUGCCUAGUAAGGAUGAAAUAAUUGGUCUUGCUUCUAUUGCUGUGCCUCCGACUGAUCCACUAGAACAAUAUUUGCUAGACCAUGAAAAUGAUUUACUUAUGCAUGAAAGAAAUGAAAUAGAUAAGAUUUUAUUUGAACAACGUCCUCUGCUUAAACACAAUUUGUCUAUUGAAACUCUAGGAGGUCCCCCUCCAUCUAAAGGUGAUCCCGUGUUUGAAUUAAAACAAUUGACAGACACUUUGAAAUAUGCUUAUCUUGAUGAAAAGAAGAUAUAUCCUGUUAUUAUUAGUGCUAACCUUUCAGAACAUGAAGAAGAAAGAUUAUUGAAAGUUCUAAGGAAGCACCGAGCUGCUAUUGGAUAUACCCUUGAUGAUUUAAAGGGGAUUAGUCCUACUCUAUGUCAGCACAAGAUUAAUAUGGAACCUGAUGCUAAACCCGUUGUUGAUCAUUAACGCCGAUUAAAUCCGAAGAUGAAAGAAGUGGUAAGAACAGAAAUAUUAAAACUUCUGGAAGGAGGUAUAAUCUAUCCUAUAGCUGAUAGUAGAUGGGUAAGUCCCGUUCAUUGUUUUCCUAAGAAAGGAGGUAUUACUGUUAUUCCUAAUGAUAAGAAUGAACUUAUUCCACAAAGAAUUGUUACAGGCUAUAGAAUGGUAAUUGAUUUUAGGAAAUUAAACAAAGCAACUAGAAAAGUUCAUUACCCCCUGCCUUUUAUUGAUCAAAUGCUAGAAAGAUUGUUAAAGCACACACACUUUUGCUUUCUUGAUGGAUAUUUUGGUUUUUCACAAAUACCUGUUUCUCAACCUGAUCAAGAAAAGACCACUUUCACUUGUCCCUUUGGAACUUAUGCUUAUAGACGUAUGCCUUUCGGUUUAUGCAAUGCACCUGCUACCUUUCAAAGAUGUAUGACUGCUAUAUUCUCUGACUUUUGUGAGAAGAGUGUCGAGGUUUUCAUGGAUUACUUUUCCGUUUAUGGGAAGUCUUUUGAUGAUUGUUUAAGCAAUCUUGAUCGAGUUUUGCAGAGAUGCGAGCAAACAAAUCUUGUCUUGAAUUGGGAAAAGUGCCACUUUAUGGUUAAUGAAGGUAUUGUUUUGGGCCAUAAAUUUCUGAAAGAGGUAUUGAAGUGGACAAAGCUAAGGUUGAUGCAAUUGAGAAAAUUCCAUGUCCUAAAGAUAUCAAAGGUAUUCGUACUUUCCUAGGUCAUGCUGGUUUCUAUAGGAGAUUUAUCAAAGACUUCUCUAAAAUUUCUAGGCCUCUUACAAAUCUUUUGCAAAAGGAUGUUCCUUUUGUUUUUGAUGAUGAUUGUUUAGAAGCCUUCGAAACACUCAGGAAAGCCUUAAUUUCUGCACCUCUUUUUCAACCACCUGAUCGGAACUUGUCUUUUGAAAUUAUGUGUGAUGCUAGUGAUUAUGCUGUUGGUGCUGUUCUAGGACAAAGAUUUGAUAAGAAACUGAAUGUUAUUCAUUAUGCUAGUAAAACUCUAGACAAUGCUCAAAGAAAUUAUGCUACUACUGAAAAAGAAUUUCUAGCAGUGGUGUUUGCUUGUGAUAAAUUUGGAUCUUACAUUGUUGACUCCAAAGUUAUUGUUCACACCGAUCAUGUUGCUAUUAAAUAUCUUAUGGAAAAGAAAGAUGCUAUACCUAGACUUAUUCGAUGGGUUCUCUUGCUACAAGAAUUUGAUUUACAUAUUACUGAUGGAAAAGGAACUAAGAACCCAGUAGCUGAUAACUUGUCUAGGCUUGAAAAUGUGCUUGAUGACCCACUACCUAUUGAUGAUAGUUUUCCUGAUGAGUGAUACGUCACCAACGUAUCUAUAAUUUAUGAAGUAUUCAUGCUAUUAUUUUAUCAUUAUUGGAUGUUUUACAAUCAUUUUAUUGCAAAUUUAUAUCAUUCUUUGGGACUAACCUAUUGACCCAGUGCCCAGUGCCAGUUGCUAUUUUUUGCUUGUUUUUUACAUUGCAAGAAAUCAAUAUCAAACGGAGUCCAAACACCGCAAAACUUUUUGGAGAUUUUUUUGGGCCAGAAGACAUCCAUUGGGCCAAAGAAGCACCUGGGGGGGGGGGUGCCCCGAGGGGGGCACAACCCACAAGGGCGCGCCAAGCCCCCCUGGCGCCCCCAGGUGGGUUGUGCCCACCUCGGUGGCCUCCCGCACCCCUUCUUUGCACUAUAAAUUCCAAAAUAUUUUGAAACCCAUCGGGGUUACCCUAGAUCAGAAGUUCUGCCACCGCAAGGUCCUGUAUCCGCGAAAACCAAUCUAGACCUCGUUCCGGCACCCUGCCGGAGGGGGGAAUCAUCUCCGAUGGCCAUCUUCAUCAACCCGGCGGCCACCACGUGAGGAGGGAGUAGUCCACCCUCGGGGCUGAGGGUUUGUACCAGUAGCUAUGUGUUUAAUCUCUCUCUCUCUCGUGAUCUAUAUCAUGGGCUUUGUUAAUAUAGUCGGAUCAUAUGAUGUUUCUAGCCUCUAUACUCUUGUUAUGAUGAAUUGAAUCUCUACCCUUCAAAGUUUUGUCUUGUCGGAUUGAAUAUUCAGAGAUGAGAACACAUGAUAUAUGUCUUGCAAUAUGAAUAAUUGAGGUGACAAUGGGGUAUCAUAUUUAUUCACUUGAUGUAUGUUAUGGCACUCAACUUGCGGAUUCCCGAGGUGACAUUGGGGUAAUCUAUGCAUAGGGGUUGAUGCACGUUUUUAUUAUCUUUUCUCCGAUAGAAACUUUGGGGUCUCUUUGUAGUUCUUUGUGUGGAUUGAGUAUUAUGAACAUGAAUUUGCUUUGGUGUUAUUUUAGUACGAACUCUUGAUUAGAUCGAUCAGAAAUAAUAGCUUGCGUUAUUUUAGUACAAACUAUAGGAUAGAUUGAUCGAAAAGAAUAGCUUUGAAGUGGUUUUGUACCCUACAAACAAUUUCUAUCUUUUGUUCUCCGCUAAUAGGAACUCUAGAGUGAUUCUUUAUUGCACUUUGAGGGAUAAUCAUAUGAUCCAACUAUGUUAGCACUGUUGAGAGGUUGCACUAGUGAAAGCACAGAUCCUAGGCCUUGUUUUCAAGCAUUGCAAUACCAUUUUUGUGCUCAUUUACUAUUUGCUACCUUGUUGUUUUUAUUUAUUCAGAUUUAAAAAUAUAUUUAUACCAUCAAUAUUACACUUUUAUCACCAUCUCUUCGCCGAACUAGUGCACCUAUACAAUUUACCAUUGUAUUGGGUGUGUUGGGGACACAAGAGAUUUCUUGUAUUUGGUUGCAGGGUCGUUUGAGAGAGACCAUCUUCAUCCUACGCCUCCCAUGGAUUGAUAAACCUUAGGUCAUCCACUUGAGGGAAAAUUGCUACUGUCCUACAAAACUCUGCGCUUGGAGGCCCAACACAUGUCUACAUGAAUAAAGUUGCAUAGUAGACAUCAAGCUCUUUUCUGGCGCCGUUGCCGGGGAGGUGAGUGCUUGAAGGUAUAUCUUUAGAUCUUGCAAUUGAAUCUUUUAGUUUCUUGUUUCAUCACUAGUUUGGUGUAUAAAAGAAAACUACAAAAAAAUGGAAUUUAGGUUGCAUCAUAUUAUUGAUCCUCUUUAUAAUAUCUUUCUUGAAAACGAUGCAUCGGAAAAUUGUGCUCAAUUGUUAGAAGAAGAAGUCAAUAAAAUGCUUGGCACAAAAUAUUUGGAUGAUUAGCAUGAUUGCAAUGUUAUUAGUAUGAAUUAUUUGAAUAUCCAAAAUGCUAAUGAUGAUUGCACAAGUCAUGACAAAAAUGUUUCUUAUAAGCAUGUCACUUUUUGUGGAGUGAAUUGGGAGUGCCUUUGCACACCAAAAAGGGGAGAUAUAUUUUGUAAGAAGCAUACAUAUUUAGAAACAAAAAUGUUGCAAGAGAGGUUAGAUGAUUGUGCUGAAAGAUGUAGUUUUUUGGCCAUCCUUGUGAACUUUGCAUCUCUUUAUGAUGGUAAUUUAAAUCUUCAAUGCAGAUUCUUUCAUGAUCAAAUAGUGUCCAAAAAUUAUGAUAACUUGAUUACCCUUGAGCAUCAUAAAGAGCUUAGUCUUCUUUUGGGGUAUGAAGAAAUUAAAUGUAUAACUAAGGAUUUUCCAAAUCCUAAGAGAUUUCUUGAUUUUGAUCUAGAAGAAAUUUAUAUGUUUUGUGCGGUAAAUUGCAUUGAGAAUCCUUAUAUUGCCAACUACCUAAAGACAAGAAAACAAAUGGAAUAUGAAGAGAGUACUAAUGAAAGGGGAAGUAUUUCCCAAUACCUUCCUAGUGUUUCUUAUGAUGAAUCAGGUAACAUGGAGGAACUUCCUAUCCAAUCAAUCUCUUCAACAAGGAGCUCGAAAAAAUUAAUUGAACCCAUACAUGAUGUGGUGAAGAAGAUGAAAAGAAGAAAGAAGAGAGGUAAAAAGGUAUCUCUCCCGAAUAAUGUUGCUCCUAUUAUUGUUGUACCUCAUGAAAAUGAAUCAAAAAUAAUUGUGGAAGAUGAUGUACUUGAUGAUGAUAUUGCUUCUAUGUCUUACGGCACAAUGACCGAGAGCACUUUUGAUGAUGAUUUUACUAUGCCUAUUGCUUGUUUUGAUGAUUAUGAUUGGGAAUAUAAUGAUACUUCUUAUAAUCUUGGAAAUCUUUUUGGAACCAACUUGGGAAAUUAUGAUGAUAGCAAUUGUUAUACCGUUGGUGCUAUUCAUACUAUUAAUGAUGAGAGUGAUUAUGCUUAUGAUAUGCCAAGCCACAAGCUUGGGAUGCUUUGUUUGAUGAUAAUGACAUGUUUGAUUAUGAUGACAUGUUUGAUUAUGCUUAUGAUUUGCUGCAAUUAAUGUUUGUCCCAAGCUUGGGGAGGCUAUGCUUAAUGAAGAUGAUCUUUUUAGUUCACUUACUUUGAAUGAUCAAAUUUGCUAUGAUGAUUGCAUGCCUCCUACUUAUGAUGAUUAUUGUGAUGAUACUUAUGUGAUUAAAAGUUGUGAUAAUUAUUGUCAUGAUUUUGAUUAUACCUUUGCUGAACAUUACUCUUUUAAUGUGGAAACAAUUUAUAGUAUUCGAGCUUCCUAUGAUACUCCCACUAUUAUGAAUGAGAAUAGAAUUGCUUAUAUGGAGAGUAAUAAAUUUUCUAUGCUUGUGGAUCAUGAAAAGAAUGUUUUAUGUGAUGGUUAUAUUGAUGAAUCUAUUCAUGAUGCUACUGAAAAUUAUUAUGAGAGAGGAACUUAUGCUUCAUGAUGCUCUUGUUAUGUUUCAAUUCUUAUCUUUUAUGCGAGCAUCAUUGAAAUCAUCAUGCCUAGCUUAAAAGGCAUUAAAGAAAAGCGCUUGUUGGGAGACAACCCAACACUUUUACCUACUGUUUUUGUGUGUUCACAUGAUUAUUCUACUGUAUUGAUCAUGUUUUAUUGCUUUGUUUCAAUAAAGUGCCAAGUAAAGCCUUUGGGAUCAUGUUGGGUGAUAGUUGAGUUGAUCUUGCUGAAAAACAGAAACUUAUGCGCUCACAAAAAAAAUCUAGUUUAUAACAGAAGAGUGAUUUUGAGUUGAUUCUUUUUGCAGAAGAUUAACAUACAAAUUUCUCACGUAUUCUAAAUUUUUCAGAGUUUUUGGAAUAGCAGAAGUAUGGUUAUUCUACAGAUCAUUACAGACUGUUCUAUUUUUGACAGAUUCUGUUUUCAAUGCAUAGUUUGCUUGCUUUCUAGUUUCUAUGGCUUAUAUUGCUCAAUAUAAAUUGUGGAAAUAAUAUGCCAAAGUAGGCAUUGUGUGAGAACAAUUAUGAAUCUUGUCUUUGACAGUACCAAAGUGAAAUGGUUUGCUCUUUACCAUACUAACCUAUCUCACAAAGUUCCGUCAAGUUUUGUGUGAUUGAAGUUUUCAAGUUUUGGGUGAGAUAUCGAUAUGAGGAGAAUAAGGAGUGACAAGACCCUAUGCUUGGGGAUGCAGAAGGCACCCCCAAGGUAAUAUUCAAGGAAGAUCCAAGCAACUAAGCUUGGGGAUGCCCCGGAAGGCAUCCCCUCUUUCGUCUCCAACAGUAUCGUUAACCUCACUUGGAGCUAUGUAUUCAUUCGUCACAUGGUAUGUGUUUUACUUGGAGCAUCAAUUUAUUUUUUUAUUAUUUGCUUGAUGUUAUAUAAAAUAUUGUUUUGCAUCUUUUAUUUCAAUAAAAAUGUCAAGGAUAGCCUUUACCACGCUUAUUUUACAAGUCUACAUGUUGCUGUUUGAAAACAGAAAGUUUACCGCUGUUGCAAAAAUUCCCUAGAAAAGUCAGAAUGUGAUAAAAUGUUGAAACUUUUUGCAUAUUAAGCUCUGAUAAAUUUUCUACAGUGUGGUAAAAUUUUCAUAAUUUUUGGAGUUAGGGAAGUUUGAUGAAUCUUGCAUUCUUUACAGACUGUACUGUUUUGGCAGAUUGCUGUUAUGUUUGCAUUGUUUGCAUAUGUUUGCUUGUUUAAUGAUUCUAUUUGAGGAUAGGAGUAUUAAAUAUGCAGAGGCAUUUAGUAUGCGAUGUUGAAUAAUAAUUUUAGUGAUUUGCUACAGUAGAUAAAUGAUAAGGUUUUUGCAUUAGUUUAUACUAACUUAUCUCACGAGUUCUUGUUGAGUUUUGUGUGGGUGAAGCUUUUGAGAUUUAGGAAAACCGUGAUAUGAAAGGAAUUAAGGAGACACAAAAGCUCAAGCUUGAGAAUGCCCAAGGCAUCCCAAGAUAAUAUUUCAAGAAGUCUCAAGCAUCUAAGCUUGGGGAUGCCCCAGUAGACAUCCCACCUUUCUUCUUCAACAAUUAUCGGUUAGUAUCGGUUGAACCUAAGUUUUUGCUUCUUCACAUGAUGUGUGCUAUUCUUGGAAUGUCAUUUUGUUUUGUUUUUGCUUGCUGUUUUAAUAAAAUGUUUAGAUCUAUACGUUUUUGAAUAAGAGAGAGCCCUCAAAUAGCUACCUAUUUGCUUAACUACUCGCAUGAUCUUCACUUAUAUCUUUUUGGAGUAGUUUGUCAUUUACUCUUGUGCUUCACUUAUAUCCUAUGAGUAAAUUGUUGAAUAAGUUGAAUGUUAUGAAGUUGAAAUUAUAUCAUGCCUAGUGAUAGCUUCAUGUUGGGUUUAGAAAAUGAAAUCUUUUGAGGCUUGACAAUCACAAUAUUGGUCAUACAAGCAUGUGACGCCCCCGAUUCAAUCGUACACUAAUCAUACACGCAAACGUGUACGAUCAAGAUCAGGGACUCACGGGAAGAUAUCACAACACAACUCUAAAAAUAAAAUAAGUCAUACAAGCAUCAUAAUACAAUCCAGGGGCCUCGAGGGCUCGAAUACAAGUGCUCGAUCAUAGAUGAGUCAGCGGAAGCAACAAUAUCUGAGUACAGACAUAAGUAAACAAGUUGCCAUAAGAUGGCUAGCACAAACUGGGAUACAGAUCGAAAGAGGCGCAGGCCUCCUACCCGGGAUCCUCCUAAACUACUCCCUGUCGGCGCCAGCGGCCUACACGUAGUAGUAGGCACCUCCGGUGUAGUAGGAGUCGUCGUCGACGGUGGCGUCUGGCUCCUGGGCUCCAGCAUCUGGUUGUGACAACCAGGUAGAAGGGAAAGGGGAAAAGAGGGAGAAAAGCAACCGUGAGUACUCAUCCAAAGUACUCGCAAGCAAGGAUCUACACUACAUAUGCAUGGGUAUAUGUGUAAAGGGGCCAUAUCGAUGGAUUGGACUGCAGAAUGCCGGAAUAAGAGGGGGAUAGCUAGUCCUGUCGAAGACUACGCUUCUGGCAGCCUCCAUCUUGCAGCAUGUAUAAGAGAGUAGAUGGUAAGUUCACCAAGUAUCAUCGUAUAGCAUAAUCCUACCCGGCGAUCCCCUCCUCGUCGCCCUGUUAGAGAGCGAUCACCGGGUUAUAUCUGGCACUUGGAAGGGUGUGUUUUAUUAAGUAUCCAGUUCUAGUUGUCAUAAGGUCAAGGUACAACUCCAAGUCGUCCUGUUACCGAAGAUCACGACUAUUCGAAUAGAUAAACUUCCCUGCAGGGGUGCACCACAUAACCCAACACGCUCGAUCCCAUUUGGCCGGACACACUUUCCUGGGUCAUGCCUGGCCUCAGAAGAUCAACACGUCGCAGCCCCACCUAGGCACAACAGAGAGGUCAGCACGCCGGUCUAAAUCCUAUGGCGCAGGGGUCUGGGCCCAUCGCCCAUUGCACACCUGCAUGUUGCGAGGGCGGCCGGAAGCAGACCUAGCCUAGAAGGCGUUCCAGUCCAAUCCGGCGCGCGCCGCUCAGUCGCUGACGUCACGAAGGCUUCGGCUGAUACCAUGACGUCGAGUGCCCAUAAUUGUUCCCGCGUAGUUGGUUAGUGCGUAUAGACCAAAUGGCCAGACUCAGAUCAAAUACCAAGAACUCGUUAAGCGUGUUAUUUUGAAGUAACCACGGACGCCGACCAGGGCCAGGCCCACCUCUCUCCUAGGUGGUCUCAACCUGCCCUGUCGCUCCGCCACAAAGUAACAGUCGGGGGCCGUUGGGAACCCAGGCCCACCUCUACCGGGAUGGAGCCACCUGCCCCUUCAGCCCCCAUCUCCGAACAGUAUCAUAAGUAAUGUAACAGUAUAAAGUAUAUAGCAUAUGCCCGUGAUCACCUCCCGAAGUGAUCACGGCCCAGUAGUAUAGCAUGGUAGACGGACAAGAGUGUAGGGCCAUUGAUGGAAUACUAGCAUCCUAUUCUAAGCAUUUAGGAUUGCAGGUAAGGGUAACAACUGUAGCAACAAUGACAGGCUAUGCAGUAGAAUAGGAUUAACGGAAAGCAGUAACAUGCUACACUACUCUAAUGCAAGCAGUAUAGAGAAGAAUAGGCGAUAUCUGGUGAUCAAGGGGGGGCUUGCCUGGUUGCUCUGGCAAGAAGGAGGGGUCGUCAACACCAUAGUCGUACUGGGUAGCAGCGGCGUCGGUCUCGGGGUCUACCGGAGAAGAAAAGGGGGAAGAAACAGUAAAUAAGGAGCAAACAAAGCAUCACAAAACAUAAUGAGGCAAUACGCGGUGCUAGGUACGCCCUAGCGUGGUACUAGGCGAUGCCGGCGAAGGGGGGAAACAUCCGGGAAAGUAUUCCCGGUGUUUCACGUUUUUGGACAGAUGAACCGGAGGGGGAAAGUUGCGAGUUUUCUAUGCUAGGGAUGUGUGACAGACGAACGGGCUACGUAUCCGGAUUCGUCUCGUCGUUCUGAGCAACUUUCAUGUACAAAGUUUUUUCAUCUGAGCUACCGAUUAUUUUAUAUCUUUUUUCAAAGUUUCUAAAAGAUUUUUAAUUUCUGGAUUUAGUUUAAUUCGAAAUUAAGUUAGUAUGUAAAUGCUAUGGGUACACAGAAAGUGUACCCAGAAGUGUGCACCUGAGGCUGACAGGUGGGGACAGUUGACUAAGUCAUCUGCCCAGUCAGUAGAAGCUGACAGGUGGGGCAGGGGGUGCUGACUCAGCGGUCAAUAGGUCAACAUUGACCAGUCAAACUGGCAGGUGGGGACCACCCGUCAGUGACACAUGUAUUUAGCAGGUAUUUAUUUUAAAUUUUCUCUAAUUAGUUGGCCGGGCCCACAUGUCAUACUCCAGUUUAUUAAUACAUUUGUUUUGAAAGCAGGGUUAGUUUAGCGGGUGGGCCCCUGACGUCAGUGAAUGUUUAAGGCAGAUUAGUGACUAACGACAGCCACAUCACUGUAUUAGCACCGGCGAUGAGCUGCAGAACGGUAGCGGCAUAGGAGCUCGCUGGAAACGGCGUACGAGGAGCCGUUCACGGCGCGGAUGGUUCCAUUCGAACACCUACGCGACGGCGUAUCACAUGGUGGUGGUGGCACAGCCGGGGGUGGUCGGUGUCGACCGAUAUGACGGCGGCCGACGGCAACAGAAGGCGGGCGAGACAGGAAGCAGUGGGCCAAGGUAUGCGCGCGUGAGCGAGGCCCAACGUGGCUGAGUGCGUGCGCGCGAGGCAGGACGCGGGGUAGUGGCCGGGCGCGGAUGCGGAGCAGCAGCGGUCAGUGCGGGAGCGAGGCAAGCGGCGCUGCCGUGCGGGGUGGCGUGGCCAGGGAAGGCGGGCGCGCGGCGCAGUCUUCGCGGGGGCGAGGUAGCGGAGAGGGGAAGAGGUGGCCGAGGGCCUCACCGCGGGCCGUAGGGGAAUGGCAGCGAUUGUCGGGGAGGAAGACGGGGACGACGUGCGACGGGGCGGCGCCGGUGCGGUGGCUCCAGAGACGGCGAUUGGUGAUGGGGCGCAGCGUGGCUUGGGGAGGCUGUCGAGGAGGAGGUCAAGGAGGUCCGGCGUGGGGAGGAGACGGGGAGGCGACGACGAAGACGAGCGACGCCGGCGACGAGNNNNNNNNNNNNNNNNNNNNNNNNNNNNNNNNNNNNNNNNNNNNNNNNNNNNNNNNNNNNNNNNNNNNNNNNNNNNNNNNNNNNNNNNNNNNNNNNNNNNNNNNNNNNNNNNNNNNNNNNNNNNNNNNNNNNNNNNNNNNNNNNNNNNNNNNNNNNNNNNNNNNNNNNNNNNNNNNNNNNNNNNNNNNNNNNNNNNNNNNNNNNNNNNNNNNNNNNNNNNNNNNNNNNNNNNNNNNNNNNNNNNNNNNNNNNNNNNNNNNNNNNNNNNNNNNNNNNNNNNNNNNNNNNNNNNNNNNNNNNNNNNNNNNNNNNNNNNNNNNNNNNNNNNNNNNNNNNNNNNNNNNNNNNNNNNNNNNNNNNNNNNNNNNGGGGAGAGGAGAGACGUGGGGAGUGGGGGGGGGGAAGUGUGCGGUCGUGGGGGGUUAGGGUUUCCCCCUGGUGGGGAUAGGGUGGGGGGUUGGGCCGGUUGGUGGGCUGGCCGGCUGGGCCGUCUGGCCUAGUUGGCCAGGGGGGUUCUUUUCUUUUAUUUUUGCUUUCUGUUUGUUCCUUUUCCUUUUAUUUAUAUUAACUUUUCUGUUAUAGUUUUGUUUCCUAUUAUUUUAGUUUUAGUAAAAUAUACACUUAGUAUCUAAAUUAGUAUUUCAACUUAGUCCAUAGUCAAAAAGUCUAGUCCUCAAAUAAAUUAGUUUGACAUUUUACUAAUUAUAAAAGGUAUUUAAAUAUUUGUUUUGUUGUUGUUUUAUUCAUCUCAUAGUACUUAAAUAUUUUAUAAAGGUGUGGUUUCUCCACCAUAAUUAUCUAUGCAAUAUUUGGUUCACUCCGAACAUUUUACUUUUAAUUUUUGAAAACCUUUACCAUUUGACUUGAUUUUUGAAUUUGAAUUUGAAUCGAUGCCGAAUCAACGCGGGUUUAUCAACAGUAACCGAGGUGACGUGGCAUCAUUAGCGUGGGAUUACUGUAGCUUAAUUAUCCGGGCGUCACAAUUCUCCUCCACUACAAGAAAUCUCGUCUCGAGAUUUAAGAGGUAGAGUAAGGGGAAAGAUGUGGCUACGAAAUUCUAUCGAGUCUUCUCGGUCUUGGUUGCUCUUCUCGAAGAGGUCGAUCCAUUACAUUGAUGUCUUCAUUCCACUACUUCAGGUCAUCAUUAUGAAGUCGUCAUCCUUUCUUCGGGGGUUCCUUCGUACUUACGAAUAAGUAAGGGGUAGCUCGGCUACGACAUAAUGCUUAGGAGGGAAACAAUCUGGGGUUAACCCAUGAAUGAGCAUAAGAUUAUCUCUCAAGUUGAACAUAUAAAAUACAUCGAGAGUAAGGUACGAAGGUACAAUAAGAGGUUCCAAGCAGAUAGAUAGUUGCUCGAAGUCUGAACCAGAGUGAGAAAGGGGUUUCAGAGCAGCGAGAGUAAGUAUUGCGUCUGAUACCAGAAUAGAUCACUUGGCAUGUGGCCCAUGAAUUACAUAAGAAGUCAAGCACGAGGAAUAACUUUGACAACAGGGUGUACAUGAGAGUCAGGUUUCGAUCCUGGGACCUGGGGUUACGGGCCCACCAUGCAGGUUAAAAUUAGAAAAGGCGCUAACUUCUUGCACGGUCAGGAUGGCAGUGUAUGUCAGAGGCUAGCCCGUCAGCCAUGUUGGCAACAAUCGUUGGUACUAAGGGCGAGGGACGAAGAAAACCAUUUUCCUGCUCGUUGAACGAGGCGGACCAAUAGGCAAAGUUCUCGUCCAUCGGUGGUUACCGGAAUGUCAUCAACAAAAGUAACAGGGUCUUACUGACAGAGUGGUACAACGAGGUGUUUAUAUAAGCAAGGAAAUAUUACUGCUUAUAUAAUAUAGAUCACAAGAAGGUUUAAACAAACCAAUGGAAACGAAAAGUGAUUAUCAGGUUUAAACAGAACAAUGGAAAGGAAAAUGUGUAUACACACAUAUCUCAGGGGUAUAUCCUUCCCAAGGACAAGCAGAGCAUGAUAUCCUUGGCAGGAUAUAAUGUAGAAAACUCUUUAGGAAAGGGGAGAGAAAUUUCAUGACAUUAUCCAUGCAACGGUGUUUGGAUAAUUGAGCAAGUAACAUUUAGCAUUGGGCUUCAAAUGUUCUUGUUGAAAAUCGGAGCACCACAGACAUGCUUCGAGAUAGCAUUGACAAGGUCUUCAAGCAAAGGUCAGACUUUGGAUACACAAAGGAUCCAUCAGGAUAAACUUAUUAAACAAGGCAUUCAAUUUCCUCACGGAAAAAAUGGUUAACCUUGUUAAGAAGGAAACUAUAACAAAAGGUCCUCUGGCUAGGGGUGCUAAGCAAAGACACCACCUUACCAGGUUAUGUAGAGACCAAUGUUAUAACUCUUGGAAAUAUGUCCCAACCAUCAUAUCUGACCGAGAUUCAGAUCUGAUUGGUCUCAGGAUACCUCAGACAUCAGGAUGCCUGAGAAGAAAAGGUGCAACACAAUUUGACGAGAUGACAUUGUGAGAUUCUCGGAAAUGAUCUAGGGAAGCGAGUUCUGAAACAAGAGUUUGUCAUUAAACCAAGGAGAGGAUGAGGAGGUGGCUGAUGGACUCAGCGACCAUUCAUUGAGAUUUCCAAAAAGAUGGAUUUCCACAAUUAUGAGAACAAGGAGAUAAGAUUUGUCAGAUCAAGUGAUAUAAUGAGGUAUGCUCGAGGAAAACAUACACAAUUAAACAUUGGUUGAAAGGUGCGCCCGAAAUAUGGGUUGGGUUGCACGACCAAUGUUAGAAUGGUGAUUCAAUAAUCAAUUGUCUAAGAAUGAAUGGCCGACCAUUGACUUCAAAGCAAUAGGGUUGCUAGAAGGGCAGAAUCUAAACAGCACUGUUCACUUGUUGGUACCCCGGUUCGAAUCAACACGAGGACCAAGAAAGAAUGGUGAUGGUGAGAAGUAUCACUGUACCAAGAAUUCUUAAGAGGUGGAGUAAUCCUCACGACAUUCUUGACAUAAAAGAUGGUAAUACUCCAAGGUAAGGAAGAACAAUUGCUGUAUAGCAUGGAUCUCAAGGUAUAACACGAAACACGAACAAGUUUGUGUUGAACGGAAGGCAAUAAAGUGGUUGAUGAUAAUACAAAUCAUCGAGGGCAAGGAUGGUAUUUCUCUUCAUGAAUUCAAUUGAUAUCCUGGAAGAGCUCAAAAUGUUGAUGAUGAUCACGACACAAUUGUCGAGAGAUUUCACGAAGAAGCAAUCAAACAGCGAUGACAUCAAGAAAAAAAACAAUGGUGAAGCGAAGGGUCAUCGGAACCACUGAUACGACACACACUUGGAAUCAAGCUUGAUGUUUAAGGCGGAAUGAUAAGACGAGGAAGAUCGACGUAAGCUUGGCUCAUCGUCAAAAGUUGUGCUCCGGGAAUAAGGACUAGGUAGCACAAUUAAAAUUUAGCAUGAUAAUGAUAUAGCCGAUUAGGAUUGGGAUGACUUGAAGGAUUAUUAAACUCGUAAGCAAUGAAAAUUACUUAGAGUUAUUGAAUCAGAUUGCGGAAUCGGUUCACUUACCGGUGUUCUUGAGCGACUAACUCAGAACCCAUGAAAAAUUGGAAUCAGUGAGAAAUAAUAGCUGAUGGAGACUCAUAAGAUGCAACACAGUUCUUAGAUAUUCUCGAGAUACCAGAGGGUAAAACUCGACGGUAGAUCAAGGUAGAGGUUGGACUGGUGUAUUGACUUGCAAAAGACAAGUGUUUUAACUUGUCCGAGAAAUGGGAUCAACGAGAAAAUAUGGCCGGAACCACGAUUGCAUAGGAUCAGUUCAUAGAUACCAGAUGAUAUUAUAUCAACGAAAUAGUUAUUAUUACAAGAAGCUUCUAUGGUAGGAUCUACAUCGUGUCCAUGGGCAUGAACACAAAGUUCAAGGUCGACUCCUACUUCUUCAAUGUAUAACCUUCCAUUCACCUCUCACUUUCGAAGAAGUUGUGGUGUUGAAAUUUUAUCUAGAAAAACAGCAGAAGAGUAUGACUCGUGAAAACUUUCGAGUUCACACAUAUUAGGCAUAGGUUCAACCCGUCAGGGUAUCGUGGAAACAUAUACCACAAGCUUCAAUAGUAAAUAACACAAGCUCGAUAGUAGAGCAUGGUUGACAAAAACAGAGGAUACAAUUUACCUAAGGCAUUAGGUAUCAGGGAAAGAACUUCUCGAGGUUUUUGUAUACGAAGGACGAUGUCGGAUGAUAUUUCAACAAAUGAUCCGACGGUCCAUAGUGGAGCUGAUGUGAGCAUCGGCACACAACCAGAGGAAGAAACAAUGCGAAGGCAUUAGAUUAUAGAACCAAAUGACUAAUUCAAAGUUUAAUUGCCAUGGAAUUAUGAUUUCCAAAUCAAGGGAUCAGAAGCAAACGCUCUAAUUUAGGAUGGAUAAGCUGAGCCGGCUUAGGGGUACAAUCGACGGCAAUUUGAUUGGUCGAGAACUAGCUCCAGUUAAAAAUGACGGCUGAGCCGGAAAGAUAAUUUAUAAGGAUCAACUGAUGAUUGCGGACAUUCGCAACAUAUUGAAUCAAGGAACUCAAAAUGAUAAUGACAAAGGAUGACAAUUAGAUUACCAGACUUAUGGUAAACCAUAUUGCAAGCAAGAAUUUGAAGAGCAAUAGGCUGUUGGGGAUUUUCGGAAAAUCGAAUGGCAUUUCAAAAACAUUUGUGAAAUACAGGAAUCAACUGUGGAUGAACGGAUACUCGAUAAGUGUGAGGAAUUAUCCGUAGGGGUAUUCAAAUGGUGAAGAACUGCAAGGCAGUAAACUCAGAGAAUUCUCGGGACAACAGAGAGUAUUUCGGGGCAUCUUGUAAUAACAAGAUCAACGGGGAAUGAUUGUAUGAAUGGCAAGUGUAUGCAGUUUUCAUAGGGGUUGACGGUGGAAGGAAAUCGCAAAUGCGAUGGCACAAAGACUCGAGAGCACAUCGUAGAGUAUCUUCGGAAUCUUCUGGUGCAGCAGGCGGUUAUCGGUAACAAGGGGCUCUCCGGGUGGAAGUGAUCAUGGGAUCCUAAUGUUCGAGUUAGCAAAAUUCAUUUAACCCGAAUAGAAGAGAGAUUAGAGUCCCAGAGUAUAGACAAGGAGUAAAAGAUCCUAAUACCACCCAAUGGCGACGUGGGCCCAUAAGGCACACAACCAUGUUAGUAAAAACAAUUUUCAUCGACUAGACUCGACUUCGGCCAAGGAGUGUGGAAGGGGGAUUCCUACAGGCAGUCGGCUCUGAUACCAACUUGUGACGCCCCCGAUUCAAUCGUACACUAAUCAUACACGCAAACGUGUACGAUCAAGAUCAGGGACUCACGGGAAGAUAUCACAACACAACUCUAAAAAUAAAAUAAGUCAUACAAGCAUCAUAAUACAAGCCAGGGGCCUCGAGGGCUCGAAUGCAAGUGCUCGAUCAUAGAUGAGUCAGCGGAAGCAACAAUAUCUGAGUACAAACAUAAGUAAACAAGUUGCCAUAAGAUGGCUAGCACAAACUGGGAUACAGAUCGAAAGAGGCGCAUGCCUCCUGCCUAGGAUCCUCCUAAACUACUCCCGGUCGCCGUCAGCGGCCUGCACGUAGUAGUAGGCACCUCCGGUGUAGUAGGAGUCGUCGUCGAUGGUGGCGUCUGGCUCCUGGGCUCCAGCAUCUGGUUGCGACAACCAGGUAGAAGGGAAAGGGGGAAAAGAGGGAGAAAAGCAACCGUGAGUACUCAUCCAAAGUACUCGCAAGCAAGGAUCUACACUACAUAUGCAUGGGUAUAUGUGUAAAGGGGCCAUAUCGGUGGACUGGACUGCAGAAUGCCGGAAUAAGAGGGGGAUAGCUAGUCCUGUCGAAGACUACUCUUCUGGCAGCCUCCAUCUUGCAGCAUGUAUAAGAGAGUAGAUGGUAAGUUCACCAAGUAUCAUCGUAUAGCAUAAUCCUACCCGGCGAUCCCCUCCUCGUCGCCCUGUUAGAGAGCGAUCACCGGGUUAUAUCUGGCACUUGGAAGGGUGUGUUUUAUUAAGUAUCCAGUUCUAGUUGUCAUAAGGUCAAGGUACAACUCCAAGUCGUCCUGUUACCGAAGAUCACGGCUAUUCGAAUAGAUAAACUUCCCUGCAGGGGUGCACCACAUAACCCAACACGCUCGAUCCCAUUUGGCCGGACACACUUUCCUGGGUCAUGCCCGGCCUCGGAAGAUCAACAUGUCGCAGCCCCACCUAGGCACAACAGAGAGGUCAGCACGCCGGUCUAAAUCCUAUGGCGCAGGGGUCUGGGCCCAUCGCCCAUUGCACACCUGCACGUUGCGAGGGCGGCCGGAAGCAGACUUAGCCUAGCAGGCGUUCCAGUCUAAUCCGGCGCGCGCCGCUCAGUCGCUGACGUCACGAAGGCUUCGGCUGAUACCACGAGUCGAGUGCCCAUAACUGUUCCCGCGUAGUUGGUUAGUGCGUAUAGACCAAAUGGCCAGACUCAGAUCAAAUACCAAGAACUCGUUAAGCGUGUUAUUUUGAAGUAACCACGGACGCCGACCAGGGCCAGGCCCACCUCUCUCCUAGGUGGUCUCAACCUGCCCUGUCGCUCCGCCACAAAGUAACAGUCGGGGGCCGUCGGGAACCCAGGCCCACCUCUACCAGGAUGGAGCCACCUGCCCCUUCAGCCCCCAUCUCCGAACAGUAUCAUAAGUAAUAAUGUAACAGUAUAAAGUAUAUAGCAUAUGCCCGUGAUCACCUCCUGAAGUGAUCACGGCCCAGUAGUAUAGCAUGGCAGACGGACAAGAGUGUGGGGCCACUGAUGGAAUACUAGCAUCCUAUACUAAGCAUUUAGGAUUGCAGGUAAGGGUAACAACUGUAGCAACAAUGACAGGCUAUGCAGCAGAAUAGGAUUAACGGAAAGCAGUAACAUGCUACACUACUCUAAUGCAAGCAGUAUAGAGAAGAAUAGGCGAUAUCUGGUGAUCACGGGGGGCUUGCCUGGUUGCUCUGGCAAGAAGGAGGGGUCGUCAACACCAUAGUCGUACUGGGUAGCAGCGGCGUCGGUCUCGGGGUCUACCGGAGAAGAAGAGGGGGAAGAAACAGUAAAUACGGAGCAAACAAAGCAUCACAAAACAUAACGAGGCAAUACGCGGUGCUAGGUAUGCCCUAACGUGGUACUAGGCGAUGCCGGCGAAGGGGGGAAACAUCCGGGAAAGUAUUCCCGGUGUUUCACGUUUUUGGACAGAUGAACCGGAGGGGGAAAGUUGCGAGUUUGCUAUGCUAGGGAUAUGUGACAGACGAAACGGGCUGCGUAUCCGGAUUCGUGUCGUCGUUCUGAGCAACUUUCAUGUACACAGUUUUUUCAUCCGAGCUACGGAUUAUUUUAUAUGUUUUUUCAAAGUUUCUAAAAGUUUUUCUAAUUUCUGGAUUUAGUUUAAUUCGAAAUUAAGUUAGUAUUUAAAUGCUAUGGGUACACAUAAAGUGUACCCAGAAGUGUGCACAUGAGGCUGACAGGUGGGGACAGUUGACUAAGUCAACUGCCCAGUCAGUAGAAGCUGACAGGUGGGGCAGGGGGUGCUGACUCAGCGGUCAAUAGGUCAACAUUGACCAGUCAAACUGGCAGGUGGGGACCACCUAUCAGUGACACAUGUAUUUAGCAGGUAUUUAUUUUAAAUUUUCUCUAAUUAGUUGCCCGGGCCCACAUGUCAUACUCCAGUUUAUUAAUACGUUUGUUUUGAAAGUAGGGUUAGUUUAGCGGGUGGGCCCCUGACGCCAGUGAAUGUUUAAGGCAGAUUAGUGACUAACGACAGCCACGUCACCGGAUUAGCGCCGGCGACGAGCUACAGAACGGUAGCGGCAUAGGAGCUCGCUGGAAAUGGCGUACGGGGAGCCGUUCACGGCGCGGAUGGUUCCAUUCGAACACCUACGCGACGGCGUAUCGCGUGGUGGUAGUGGCACAGCCAGGGGUGGUCGGUGUCGACCGAUACGACGGCGGCCGGCGGCAACAGAAGGCGGGCGAGACAGGAAGCAGCGGGCCAAGGUACGCGCGCGUGAGCGAGGCCCGACAUGGCUGAGUGCAUGCGCGCGAGGCAGGACGCGGGGUGGUGGCCGGGCGCGGAUGCGGAGCAGCAGCGGUCAGUGCGGGAGCGAGGCAAGUGGUGCUGCCGUGCGGCGUGGCAUGGCCAGGGAAUGCGGGCGCGGGACGCGGUCUUCACGGGGGCGAGGUAGCGGAGAGGGGAUGAGGAGGCCGAGGGCCUCACCGCGGGCCGUAGGGGAAUGGCAGCGAUUGUCGGGAAGGAAGACUGGGACGACGGGCGACGGGACGGCGCCUGUGCGGUGGCUCCGAAGACGGCGAGCGGUGAUGGGGCACAGCGUGGCUCGGGGAGGCCGUCGGGGAGGAGGUCGAGGAGGUCCGGCGUGGGGAGGAGACGGGGAGGCGACGGCGGAGACGAGCGACGCCGGCGACGGGGCGUCAAGGCGAUGGGGGAGUCCGGCGACGGGGUCGGGGCACUGGCGUCGUGGGAGGGUCUGAGCGGGUUCGUCACCGAUCCAGAUCGGAUCGGUAGGGGGAGAGGAGANNNNNNNNNNNNNNNNNNNNNNNNNNNNNNNNNNNNNNNNNNNNNNNNNNNNNNNNNNNNNNNNNNNNNNNNNNNNNNNNNNNNNNNNNNNNNNNNNNNNNNNNNNNNNNNNNNNNNNNNNNNNNNNNNNNNNNNNNNNNNNNNNNNNNNNNNNNNNNNNNNNNNNNNNNNNNNNNNNNNNNNNNNNNNNNNNNNNNNNNNNNNNNNNNNNNNNNNNGUGGGGAGUGGGGGGGAGUGUGCGGUCGUGGGGGGGUUAGGGUUUUCCCCUGGUGGGGAUAGGGAGGGGGGUUGGGCCGGUUGGUGGGCUGGCCGGCUGGGCCGUCUGGCCCAGUUGGCCAGGGGGGUUCUUUUAUUUUGUUUUUGCUUUCUGUUUUGUUCCUUUUCCUUUUAUUUAUAUUAACUUUUCUGUUAUAGUUUUGUUUCCUAUUAUUUUAGUUUUAGUAAAAUAUAUACUUAGUAUCUAAAUAGUAUUUCAACUUAGUCCAUAGUCAAAAAAGUCUAGUCCUCAAAUAAAUUAGUUUGACAUUUUACUAAUUAUAAAAGGUAUUUAAAUAUUUGUUUUGUUGUUGUUUUAUUCAUCUCAUAGUACUUAAAUAUUUUAUAAAGGUGUGGUUUCUCCACCAUAAUUAUCUAUGUAAUAUUUGGUUCACUCCGAACAUUUUAGUUUUAAUUUUUGAAAACCUUUACUGUUGACUUGAUUUUUGAAUUUGAAUUUGAAUCGAUGCCGAAUCAACGCGGGUUUAUCAACAGUAACUGAGGUGACGUGGCAUCAUUAGCAUGGGAUUACUGUAGCUUAAUUAUCCGGGCAUCACAAAGCAAUUCACGAAUAAUUUGUAUAAGGAAGAGAACUUUCACAUGCACAUACACUAUCCUGGAAAUCUUUUGUGAUUGUGAGCCCCCAUCAAAAUAUUAUAUGCCAAAAUUGUUGACGUUGGACAAGGAAGACAACAUAAUGAUUUAUGUUUGCUCAUAUUCACAUAGAAGUCAUAUUGUCAUAGAUCCUUCAACAUUUGGUGUUUGCCCCCCAUCUUUGCUAGCCAAAAAUUCCGCACCAAGUAGAGAUACUACUUGUGCAUCCAAAAACCCUUAAACCCAAAUCUUAUUUUCAAGAGUCCACCAUACCUACCUAUAUGCAGUAUUUCCGUGCCGUUCUAAGCAAAUUUGUAUGUGCCAUCUCUAAUUUACAAAAAAUAAAUUUCUCUUUUGUGUGCUCGUACCGCUCGCGAGGCGGUGAGGGGUGGCCAAUAUUAUCCAUGCUAGACGUGUUAUUCUUACGAUGAGUGUUUAUUCACUUGUCAUUGCACGAGAGUAAGGUAAAGGUUUUAGGGAUGCCCAGUCCCGAAAUUAAAAAUGAAUUUACUUUAUGUUGUCAAAUAACAAAUUCCUUGGAAAGUGUUGGUAUGGAGGGCACCCGUGGAUACGGCUAGCCAUGGAAAGUGAAAGUAUGGUGAAAAAAGGAAUACACUUUAUUUUCUGUUUGGGAACCGCCUAUGACAUAUCUAGCAUGGAAAUUGUUGGGAGCUCUAAGUCGCUUUCGUUGGUGGGAAAAGUAUACCUCUCAAAAUGUUUUUAUCUCUCAAUUUUUGCUUUGAGCUCUGGCACCUCUACAGAUCCCUACUUCCCCCUGCGAAGGGCCUAUCUUUUACUUUUAUGUAUUUACUUUCAUGCAAGAGUCAAAGUUAUUCUCUCUAUUCCUUUUUAUUUUUCUCUUUGGGCAAGCAUCAUGUGCUGAGGAAAGAUCUAGGCACACAUGUCCGGUUGAAUAUGGGUAGCAUGAGUUAUUAUUGUUGACAUCACCCUUGAGGUGAAUACGUUGGGAGGCAAAACAAUAAGCCCCUAUCUUUCUAUGUGUCCGGUUGAAACGUUUUGCUCAUGUGUAUGCGGUGAGUGUUAGCAAUCAUAGAAGACUAUAUGAUGGUUGAGUAUGUGGAGCUCUAACUUAAACUCUGUUGAAUAAGUUGAAUUGCAAUUGCUUGGUGACUGUGAACAUAGGUUGUUGGGUUUCAAGAGAGUUCAUUGUUUAAACCUUAACAUGUGAAUUGGUUGCCACUACAACAUGAGAAAUUUUAUGAGAAAUAAUUACUGUUAUGAUGCUAGGAAAAGUGAGUGAAAUUAUUAUUGAUUAAACUUAUGCACUUUGCUAGCAUUCACACUUCAUAAAUUAUUUGUUUUAUCAUUUACCUUCUCGAGCACGAGCAGGAAUUAAGCCUUGGGAUGCUGAUACGUCUCCAACGUAUCUAUAAUUUAUGAAGUAUUCAUGCUAUUAUUUUAUCAUUCUUGGAUCUUUUACAAUCAUUUUAUAGCAACUUUAUAUCAUUUUUUGGGACUAACCUAUUGUCCCAGUGCCCAGUGCCAGUUGCUGUUUUUUGCUUGUUUUUUACAUCGCAGGAAAUCAAUAUCAAACGGAGUCCAAACACCGCGAAACUUUUUAGAGAUUUUUUUGGGCCAGAAGACAUCCAUUGGGCCAAAGAAGCACCUCGAGGGUGCCCCGAGGGGGGCACAACCCACCAGGGCGCGCCAGGACCCCUGGCACGCCCAGGUGGGUUGUGCCCACCUCGGUGGUCUCCCGCACCCCUUCUUUGUAGUAUAAAUUCCCAAAUAUUCCAAAACCCAUCGGGGUUACCCUAGAUCAGAAGUUCCGCCGCCGCAAGGUCUCUGUAUCCGCGAAAACCAAUCUAGACCCCGUUCCGGCACCCUACCGGAGGGGGAAUAAUCUCCGGUGGCCAUCUUCAUCAUCCAGGCGGCCACCACGAUGAGGAGGGAGUAGUCCACCCUCGGGGCUGAGGGUUUGUACCAGUAGCUAUGUGUUUAAUCUCUCUAUCUCUCUCGUGAUCUAUAUCAUGGGCUUUGUUAAUAUAGUCGGAUCAUAUGAUGUUUCUACCCUCUAUACUCUUGUUAUGAUGAAUUGAAUCUUUACCCUUCAAAGUUUUGUCUUGUCGGUUUGAAUAUUCAGAGAUGAGAACACAUGAUAUAUGUCUUGCAAUAUGAAUACUUGAGGUGACAAUGGGGUAUCAUAUUUAUUCACUUGAUGUAUGUUAUGGCACUCAACUUGCAGAUUCCCGAGGUGACAUUGGGGUAAUCUAUGCAUAGGGGUUGAUGCACGUUUUUAUUAUCUUUUCUCCGAUAGAAACUUUGGGGUCUCUUUGUAGUUCUUUGUGUGGAUGGAGUAUUAUGAAUAUGAAUUUGCUUUGGCGUUAUUUUAGUAUGAACUCUUGAUUAGAUAGAUCGGAAAUAAUAGCUUGUGUUAUUUUAGUAUGAACUAUAGGAUAGAUUGAUCGGAAAGAAUAGCUUCGAGGUGGUUUCGUACCCUACAAACAAUUUCUAUCUUUUGUUCUCCGCUAAUAGGAACUCGGGAGUGAUUCUUUAUUGCACUUUGAGGGAUAAUCAUAUGAUCCAACUAUGUUAGCACUGUUGAGAGGUUGCACUAGUGAAAGUACGGACCCUAGGCCUCGUUUUCAAGCAUUGCAAUACCCUUUUUGUGCCCGUUUACUAUUUGCUACCUUGCUGUUUUUAUUUAUUCAGAUUAUAAAAAUAUAUUUCUACCAUCAAUAUUACACUUUGAUCACCAUCUCUUCGCCGAACUAGUGCACCUAUACAAUUUACCAUUGUAUUGGGUGUGUUGGGGACGCAAGAGAUUUUUUAUAUUUGGUUGUAGGGUCGUUUGAGAGAGACCAUCUUCAUCCUACGCCUCCCACGGAUUGAUAAACCUUAGGCCAUCAACUUGAGGGAAAAUUGCUACUGUCCAACAAAACUCUGCGCUUGGAGGCCCAACACGUGUCUAAUAGAAUAAAGUUGCGUAGUAGACAUCAAUGAGCAGUUAGCCGCAAUAAAUAUUUUUCAUAACACUCCUUGGUAUGCUGAUUAUGCUAAUUAUAUUGUUGCUAUUUACCACCUAGCUUUACAUACCAACAAAAGAAAAAAAUGUUUUAUUAUUUAAGACAUUACUUUUGGGAUGACCCACAUCUUUAUAAAGAAGGAGUAGAUGGUAUUAUUAGACGAUGUGUAGCUGAGCAUGAACAGGGACAAAUCCUACGGAAAUGUCACUCCGAAGCUUGUGGAGGGCAUCAUGCUGGAUAUAGAACUACUCAUAAGGUAUUGCAAUCUGGAUUUUAUUGGCCCACUCUCUUCAAGGAUGCCCGUAAGUUUGUCUUAUCUUGUGAUGAAUGUCAAAGAAUAGGUAAUAUGAGUAAGCGUCAAGAAAUGCCUAUGAAUUAUUCACUUGUUGUUGAACCAUUUGAUGUUUGGGGAUUUGAAUACAAUGGGACCUUUUCCUUCCUCUAAUGGGUAUACACAUAUUUUGGUUGAUGUUGAUUAUGUUACUAAGUGGGUAGAAGCUAUCCCAACCAGUAGUGCUGAUCACAAAACCUCUAUUAAAAUGCUUAAGGAAGUUGUUUUCCCAAGGUUUGGAGUCCCUAGAUAUUUAAUGACUGAUGGUGGUUUACACUUUAUUCAUGGCGCUUUACGCAAAAUGCUUGCCAAGUAUGAUGUUAACCAUAGAAUUGCAUCACCUUAUCAUCCUUAGUCUAGUGGUCAAGUUGAACUUAGCAAUAGAGAAAUAAAUUUAAUUUUACAAAAGACUGUCAAUAGGUCUAGGAAGAAUUGGUCUAAGCAAUUAGAUGAUGCACUUUGGGCUUAUAGCACAACAUAUAAAAAUCCUAUGGGUAUGUCUCCUUAUAAAAUGGUUUAUGGAAAAGCUUGUCAUUUGCCUCUUGAGUUAGAACAUAAAGCAUAUUGGGCAAUCAAAGAACUCAACUAUGAUUUCAAACUUGCCGGUGAAAAGAGGUUAUUUGAUAUUAGCUCAUUAGAUGAAUGGAGAACCCAAGCUUAUGAAAAUGCCAAGUUAUUCAAAGAGAAAGUUAAAAGAUGGCAUGAUAAAAGAAUCCAAAAGCGUGAGUUUAAAGUUGGAGAAUUUGUUCUUUUGUACAACUCUCGUUUCAGAUUUUUUGCAGGAAAACUCCUCUCUAAAUGGGAAGGACCCUAUGUUAUCGAGGAGGUUUAUCGGUCUGGAACUAUCACAAUAAAUAAUGCCGAAGGUACUAACCUAAAGGUUGUCAAUGGGAAGCAAAUAAAACAUUAUAUCUCAGGUACGCCCAUUAAUGUUGAAAGUAAUAUUAUCCAAACAAUGUUACCGGAGGAACACAUAAAAGAGUCCUUCCAGAACACUCCAGAAUCAUGAAAAUAAGGAGGUACGUGAUACGGUACAUAAACGGACUCCAAAAAAUUCGCAAAAUAAUUUUUGUCAGUUUUGGAAUAUUUAGAAAAUUUGGAAAAUAAGAAACACUGGGAAAGUGACCUUGGUGGGCACAAGACACCAUGGCGCGCCUGGCUGCCAGGCGUGCCCAGGUGGGUUGUGCCCACCUGGGGCACCUUACGGACUCUGUUUUUCUCUUGUUUGCUUGUUUCCCAAGAUAAAAAUCUUUAUAUACCCCUAGAACCUAUUGACCAUCGUAUCGUGGAGAAAUCUUCUAUCUUCUUUUCUUGCUGUUUCUCUGAUAGAUCUGAAAAUAUGUCAUCACAAGACUUUGAGGGAGAGAGCUAUGUUGCCGAUUUCAUUGCAAACCCCAAGUAUUAUGGGGAUGUGGGGCACUAUUGCUGGACCUCCGAAGAGGAUGAAAAUGAACCAGUUCCUCCCUAUUUCAAAAACGAAAGCAUGGAGGCAUUAUGCAAGAGGAUAAUAAAGCUCGAGAUGGAGAACGAUGAGUUGAGAGUAGAUAACUUUAUCCUUUGGAGUAAGCUAGAGGAAAAGAAGGGAAAACCCUCUACUUCUUCAUCACCACCACCUCCUUCUUCAUCACCAAAAGAAAAUUGAGUAUCGGGUAUGGGCACUCCCCUUGGCUUCCAUCAAGCUUGGGGGAGGUGCCCCGGUAUCGUAUCAUCCCCACUAUCUUUUGUCUUUACUUAUUUUAGUUUGAUCUUUUGCUUUAGAUGAAUAAAAGUUUAGUUCGAUCCUUUCUUUUCGAGAGCUUGCUUAAUGAUCUAUCCUUGUAAUUGUGUGCAAGAUAUAUAAUACAGUUUAGUUUGAGUUUUUGCUUUCUUUACUUUCAUGUUGCAAUAAAAAGAAAGGAAAUAAAUGAAAAGAUCAUAUGCUAAUCUUAUGAUAGGUGAUGAUACCACAUAAGGAAAAGUGUAAGUAGGAAAUUUUAUUAGAGAUUGACAAACAUAGCAUUGGUCAAUGAUGCAACUCAUGAAAGAAUUAAAAAGGAAAGAGAAGAUUCACAUAUAAAUACACUAUCCUAAAAAUCUUUUGUGAUUGUGACCCCCCAUCAAAAUAUUAUAUGCCAAAAUUUUUGACGUUGGACAAGGAAGACAACAUAAUGAUUUAUGUUUGUUCUUAUUCACAUAGAAGUUAUAUUGUCAUAGAUCCUUCAAUAUGUGGUGCUUGCCCCUAUCUUUGCUAGCCAAAAAUUCCGCACUAAGUAGAGAUACUACUUGUGCAUCCAAAAACCCAUAAACCCAAAUCUUAUUUUCAAGAGUCCACCAUACCUACCUAGGGAUUGAGCAAGAUCCCUCAAGUAAGUUUUCAUCAGUGCAAUAAGGCAAUAAAAAUUGCUUCUAAAAGUGUGAGAUCAUUUAGUGUAAGAGAAAAUUGAGCGUUGUACGAACUUGUGAUGGUGAAGAAUAAAAGCGACAGACUGCAUAACAAAGGUUGCUAUCACAAGGGGCAAUACAACAUGACGUUCUUUUGCACUAAGGCGUUGAGCAUACAAACAAAUAAGCGCUUGGCAACCUCUUCUUCCCUAUGCGAAGGGCCUAUCUUUUACUUUUAUGUAUUUACUUUUAUGCAAGAGUCAAAGUUUUCCUCUCUAUUCCUUUUAUUUUUCUCCUUUGGCAAGCAUCAUGUGGUGAGGAAAGAUCUAGGCACAUAUGUCCAGUUGAAUAUGGGUGGCAUGAGUUAUUAUUUUUGACAUCACCCUUGAGGUGAAUAUGUUGGGAGGCGAAACUAUAAGCCCCUAUUUUUCUAUGUGUCCGAUUGAAACGUUUUGCUCAUGUGUAUGCAGUGAGUGUCCGGUUGAAACUAUAUGAUGGUUGAUUAUGUGGACUUGCCUAAAGGCUCCGAUACAUGACCCUUCUUGAAAAGGUAAUGAAUUGUAGUUGCAAAGCUGACUGAAAACAUAGUUUGUUGGUUUCUAUGCUUUAUACUUCAAUUGUGUGAUGAACUGUUACUUAUUCAUGAGAAGUUUAUGACAAAAGCUCUAUGAUAAAAGUCUUAUGUUCAAAUUUGUUGCUGUUGUAAUAAUCUACAUGAUGCUUCUAUGUCCUUAUUUUAUUUUUAACGACACCUCUCUCUCUCUCUCUCUCUAAGCAUGUGGACAUGUUUUUCGAUUUUGGUUUUUGCUUGAGGACAAGCGAGGUCUAAGCUUGGGGGAGUUGAUACGUCCAUUUCGCAUCAUGUUUUCCUAUUGUUAUUUAUGAUGUUUUUAUGCAUAAUAAUGCUUUUUGGAGUAAUUCUAAUGCCUUUUCUCUCAUAAUAUGCAAGUACAAAAAAGGGAGAAUUCCGGCAGCUGGAUAUCGGGACCUGGAAAAGCUACGACAGGCCACCUAUUCUGCACAACUCCAAACAAGCUGAAACUUCACGGAGAUUUUUAUGGAAUAUUUGAAGAAUAUUGGAGCAAAUAAGUACCAGAGGGGGCCCACCAGGUGGGCACAACCCACCUUGGCGUGCCAGGGAGCCCUGGCGCGCCCUGGUGGGUUGUGCUCACCCAGGCCCACCUCCGAUGCCCAUCUUCUAGUAUAUAAGUCAUUUUGACCUAGAAAAAAAAA